rnacentral:lncRNA from 1 species
UACAUUCAAAAGUAGUUCCAAACAUAUCUGUAAUUUACUUUCUUACAGUAUUCCUAGAAACUUUCAUGUAAUAACACUUACUUUUUGGAAAAAAUAUAUAAAUUUUAUGUGAUAUAGUUCGCCAGUGUAUACAUUUUAACUGACUAUUUGGCAAUUAAUUGAAAGUAAAAACUUAGCAAAUUUUUUAUUUUUUUUGGAAAAGAAUGCUAUUUAUAUAUCGGACUUAAACGUUUCGUAAACUAACAAAUAAUAUUAGAAAUAGAAAAAUCUAUUCACUGGCAUAAUCAAUUACAUACAAUUCACAUUGUACGUAACAUAUUAAAAUGGGGACGAUACUGAGGUCUAAGCAUGAUAUUGUCCUAAUUUGAUUGAUUCUUUGUAUAAUGAGAGUGUGCGUUCAUCGGCACAAAUAUUGAUGCUUUCUGAUCAAAAUCCAACGGUCCAGAUCGAGUUUGACGCCAUCUGAUGGAAAUCCUACGGUUGGCACGAAACCAGAUGCACUGGGCUAGCCCAAAUUUGCAUGGAUGAUCCAAACUUAAAUUUGUUUCAAACAAUUCAAUAAACCAACUGGGCCAGCCCAGUACUUAUUAUGGGCCAAAUCAUCGAAAAUACUAUUAAUCAUUUUUCACAAUUUUUUAUUUUUAAAUAAAAAGUUUAGAAAUAAAAAUACAAUAUUUUCAGAAAGUCCGAAUUUUGAUUUUCUGAAAACUAUUUUUUUAGAAAUGAAACGGGUGAACAAUAAUUUUUUCAAUUAGAAAAUUAUUUUUUGGAAUACUUUUCAAAACCAAGCGCGCGCCUCCUUAAUUUCUUAAUAAAGAAAGAAUUAUAACUCAAUAAUUGAUAGAGUUGAAAUAUAAGAUGAGACAAAUUUUGUAGACAAUAAUUCACAUUUCACAUUAAAUAUAUAUAAAAACUAAAAUGAAACACUUAAAAAUUUAGAAUCUCUGACACCAAACUUAAAAAUUAAAGGACCGAUGAAAUACAAAGAUGAGAGUUUGGGGAUAGUUGUGCAAUUUACCAAACUAGAAUCUAAACGACCUUGACUUGCUUUUCACGUGUCUACGUAGACCGUUGACCGUUCUGCUCACUGCCAUGUAGGGGUGGAAACGACCCGAGCCCGAGCAAGCUUGUCUCAGCUCAAAUUCGGCUUGAAAUUAAUUUCGAGCCUAAAUUUAAGCUCAAGCUCGGCUUGAAAUUAAUUCGAGCCGAGCUCGAGCGAGCCUAAUUUCGAGUCGAGCGAGCUCGAGCCCUAAGCGAGCCGCUUGAAAUUCUCAACAUUGUACGAUUAAUAGUUUAAUUUGUAUAGAACAUUAUUUAUAAUUUGAUACAAAAAUAUAUCUAAUAGUUCAAGAUACAAAAUAAUUAUAUGAAAUACGGUAUUAUAAUAUAAAGAAAAAUAAUUUACGAGUUGAAUAUCUAAUUUUUAUUGUAGUCGCAAUCUUCUCUUCCGCUUCAACCAUAUUAUUUCUUUUUCACCUAUGCGGUCAAAAAUGAAUAAAUUAUAUAGACAAAUAUUAGAUUAAAACUAUUAAUUAUAUAUAACUAAAAUCAAAAAUUUAUAUAAAUAAAAUUUUCUACCUUAAAAAUAUUCUGUAUAUUUUCUCAAGCACACAAUUAAUGGCAAGGUAGACAAAGCGCGGCGGCGUGUUGUUACUUGAUAACUUGGGGGGCUUCAGGUUGGCCGCUUGAGGAGAGAGAGAGAGAAAGAAGAGAGAGAGAGAUUAGGAAUUUAAGGCUUUGUAAAAGAAAAGGAGGGAGAGAGUGUAAAUUUGGUAAAUUUUACCUUUUUGUUGGCAUAUUGGUUUGUUCUUAUGGCCCAGCAAUAUUGCGUCAAUUUUUAACUAAACUUAGGUUACUCCACUCUACUCUAUAUAUAUAUAUAUAUAUAUAUAUAUAUAUAUAUAUAUAUAUAAUAAUAUAUAUUCGAGCUUUUCGAGUCUAAUUCGAGCGAGCCGAGUAAUACUCAGCUCGGCUUGAAAUGAAUUUCGAGCUUUUUUUUUGUUCAAGCUCGGCUCAUCUAAUUUCGAGCCGAGCUCGAGCGAGCGAAUAUCGAGCCGAACGCGAGUCGAACGCGAGCGGCUCGCUCGUUUGCCAGCCCUACUGCCAUGUGUAAGGUUCUCACGUGAGAAUCGUGGUAAAGAAACAUGUAAACAUAUAUCCUGUUUUUCUUUUUUUUUUAAAGUAAUAAAAAGUAAUAAACUAUAGUUUUAGCUGAACAAUACAAUAGUUAUAGUGUCAGUUGAAAACAAAUAAAAUCUUUUUUAUCCUAUUUAAUCUUUUUUUCCUUACAUAGAUAACAUAUUUUAUAUAUUCAUAAUUACAACUAAAGCUCAUAAUUGCACAAAGCAACAACGAUCACUUCAUUUAUAGGUUACUAGUCCUGUUCUUAUCCUAUCUUUCAUGUUGAACUCCCGCAUCAAAUAAUUAAGCUUGAAUUUGUUAGAAGCUUUAGGAGAGUACUAAUGAGGAAAAAAGAAAAAAAAAAAAAUCAUUGAGGGAUUUUCCACGUCACUCUGAUCCGAGAAUUCGUUCUACAUGCAAAUGUUCAAUCUCGUUAUACAUGAAGUCAUAUCUUUGUGUUUGAUUUACUAUAUGACAGAGUGAAUGAGUUGAAGCCGAUCCGAACCCGGCACAAUGGAUUUGAGUUGGGUUGAUUUGGAUUACUUUGCGAGGCAGGUUUUGGUCAAGUCAAUCCAAACAAUCUAAGAAAUUGGGGUAACUUUUCAAUUUAAAAAUAAGGAAAACAAUAUGUAAGUUGAAUGGUUUGGAUUAAAAGUUAAAGAUAUGAUCAACAUUAAUAGUGGGACAAUAAAUGGUCCAUCUAUCUAACAUGGUGGACCAUAUAUCUUUGGAAAAUAGUUUCCUGUGGCCCAAUUUAACUUGACUAGAUUACUAGUCAUUGUAUUGUUAUUAGAUGUAACGCAGUGUCUUAACUUCUUUCUAUCUUUUCUCCUUCAAAUUAUAGUACAAAUAAAGUCCAGUAACAGCGACCGUUCCUAGAGCAAGUGGCAAAGCACAUAGUGGUUGGUACUCAAAACUCAAAUUCGAAUCCUAGUUGAUUCAUAUUUCUAACUAAAUUUAUUUCUAAAUGAAAUAAACGAAGCGAGUAGAGUGCUACCUAUCUCUAAAAAAAAAAAAAGUCCAGUAAUUUUUCUAUUCUAGUGGCUACGAGAAUUAAUGAUUGGUUUAUUGUUGAAUAUUAAUACAUAAACAAUCUGUGCGUUUGAUACAAAAUAAAACCUUGAUCAACAUGAUAAUUUCAUUAUAUGAUAAAAAAGUUACAAUAUACAAACAAUCUGUGCGUUUGAUGCAAAAUAAAACCUUGAUAAGCAUGAUAAUUCCAUUAUAUGAUAAAAGAAAAUACGUGUUUAAGGUUAUUUAAAGUUAAGAUAUUUGCAAAAGCGUAUCUUGACUAAUUAAGAGGAAAGAAGCAUUAAUUAAUUACCAAACAACAUACAGUCUGAACAACAAUGAGUUAGGCCGUUGGUUUCACCACUGGCGAAAUCUUAUCUACGAAACUUUAAUUUAUUUUAGUUAAGGUACUUAACGUUAAUUAAUUAUAUUAAUUUUCCAUUAAAUAAUUUAUUUCUUUAAACCAAAAGUAAUUGAAAUAAAUAAAAAUCCAUUACAUAAUUGAACCCUCCAAUGAUCAACGGCUGUAAUUUUCCCUUCCAACCAAUCAACGCCUCCGUGGGGCUACAAUUUUUGGCCAUACAUAACAAAAAUUCCACGGAAUAUUCAUUUCUCUCUCCUCUAAACCAAAUGACGUCUAGGUUCAUCACACCCACAAAAACCUUCCCUUUUUUAUUUUAAUUUUAAUUUUUUUCUCGAACCUUCCUCCAUCUCCCUCAAAUUUCUCACCAUCGGAAGAAGCAGGAGCAGGAGAGCACCGGAAAUUACGAAUAUGGCCUCGGGGUUCUUCGUGGAGUCGACGCUCCCCCAGCAAAGGGUCGUCGACGGGGUCCGGUUCCCGGCCGUGCUCACCCCGGCCGAAGCGGUCGACCUCGACCGGUUCGCGGCCGCGGUGGGGGCCGAAAAAGCCCGGCUCGAGUCGCUGCUCCGGUCGAGUGGGGCGAUCCUUCUCCGCGGGUUUCCGGUUCGGAGCGCGGUCGACUUCGACCGGGCGGUGGGCGCGUUCGGGUACGCGGAGCUCCCCUACGUGGGCGGCGCCGCCCCGCGCACCAACGUGGUGGGCCGGGUCUUCACCGCCAACGAUGCCCCCCCGGACCGGAAGAUCCCCUUCCACCACGAGAUGGCCCAUGUUCGUUUCUCUCGAUUGGAAUGUUUUACUAGUUUUACUAAUUAUCCGAUCCGAUCCGAUCCGAUGUGGGACUAUUCAUGAGUAGUAAGUAAAUUUUCUGAGCCAAUGUUACCAUGUCUUUCCUUUAUUUAUGUGUGUUUCUGAAUUUAGGUUCUGGAGUUCCCAUCCAAGCUGUUCUUCUUCUGCGAGGAGGAGCCCAAAAGUGGUGGUGAGACACCCAUCGUAUUGAGCCAUUACAUCUAUAAGAGGAUGAAGGGGAAAUUCCCAGAGUUUGUGGAGAAACUGGAGCAGCAGGGGCUAAUUUACACAAGAGUUUUAGGGGAAGGAGAUGAUCCGUCUUCGCCGAUCGGCUGCGGGUGGCAGUCCACAUUCCUCACCAAUGACAAAGCUGUGGCUGAGCAAAGGUCUGCUUUCAUUUUCCGUAGAUUUGCAUCGCAUUAGAUCCGAUAUCAGUAAGCUCAUUUUGCUUUAUCUUACAGUUUAAGCCACCAUUGUAGCAGGUACUUGUGUGUGAUAUAGUUGGAUAAUUAUGUUUUUAUGAUAAUUUGAUGAUUCUGAGUCUGACUCGGAGUUCAGUUCAAAGCUUUAAGAUUCUCUCGCGCUGGUUGACUAGCGAUCGUCAGAGAUAUCGAAAUUUACGUGCAUUAAUUUGACUGGCUUUAACAUUCUAGACAUCAAGUGAUCAAAGUGCAUUCCUUGCAAUUCAGUAGCAAUUUUUCUGAGAGAUUUUCGUGCAAUAUGCUUCUUGCUGUCGAUUAACUGUUAGUUCCGAAUUUACUAGUAUAGCGAGUUCGAUAACAGUUAAAUGUUGAAAACUUAAACAUUUUGCCUCGCCGACGUACUAGGGCUGCGCGACAAGGUAUGAAGUUGGAAUGGUUGGACGACGGAGUGAAAACAAUAAUGGGUCCGAUACCCGCUGUUAAGUUCGACGAAAGCAGGGGAAGGAAGAUAUGGUUUAACAGCAUAGUUGCUGCGUUCACUCCUGGAUGGCAGGACACCCGAAAUGAUCCUCUCAAGGCUGUUACUUUCGGAGACGGGUCGCCGUUGCUGUCGGAUGAUGACAUCAUCGACGAAUGCCUAAAAAUCCUCGAAGAGGAGUGUGUUGCUGUUCCUUGGAAGCAGGGCGACGUACUUUUAGUGGAUAAUUUGGCCGUUCUGCAUUCUAGGCGGUCGUUUGAACCUCCUCGCCGUAUUCUUGCUUCGCUUUGUAAAUAGAGGGUUGCUCUUUGCUCUUUUUAUACGCGUUUGCGAGUUUUAGAGACCGCAAGAAGCUAUCUUAUGUAUAUGUUGCCGGAUCAAACCAUGAAGCUGUACCCCUUUUGAUUCACGAGUAUCGCAAUUAGAGUAAUGUAAAGCUCAAAUGCAGCAACUAUUCCUACUGUUUAUCUGGUUUAAUAAUGUCAGUAUCUUAGCAGAAUAACAUAGUUUCUGAUAGUUCAGAAUCUCAAUGUUGGUGUCUGUUCCUUUUAGCAAGAAUAGUGUAAUGUAAAGCCAAAUGCAGCAACUAUUCCUACUGUUUAUCUGGUUUAAUAAUGUCAGUAUCUUUGCAGGAUAUCAUAGUUUCUGAUAGUUCAGAAUCUCAAUGUUGGUGUCUGUUCCUUUUAGCAAGAAGCUAUCUUAUGUAUAUGUUGCCGAAUCAAACCUUUUUAUUCACAGGAAUCGCAAUUAGAGUAGUGUAAAGCUCAAAUGCAGCAAUUAUUCCUACUGUUUAUCUUGUUUAAUAAUGUCAGUAUCUUUGCAGGAUAUCAUAGUUUCUGAUAGUUCAGAAUCUCUCAAUGUUGGUGUCUGCUCCUCUUGGCAAGUUUAUAUUGUUCUCCGCAAGCAUCUUCAAACAUCAAUCUUGUAUUUCUUGCAGGAUUCAUUACAAGUGGAUUGAUCAUCGAUGGAUAGAAAUGUUCUAAAAUUCGUAAUGCUGAGAAGAUGCAGAAGCCUGCUAAUAAAUACGUAAAUCAUGCUUAUGCGCUGCCGAAGAAAGGCAUAUAUAUAGAACUUAUCAAAGUAUCGUUAUUAUAUGAAAUCCUAAUUGAAAUUUUUAUGAGCAAUAUCGGAAAGAAAAAAAAAAAAAGAAAAAAGCAUGCCUAAGUAAAACUUAAAAAAGAAAUCUGAUUUGUUCGAGGUGCUUCUCAUAUUCAUAACAAGCAGCUUUACUACAAAUUGAUGUAGAAAAUGAUCGCCAAUAUUAUAAUCAAUGAAAACAAUCAGAAAAAUAAAAUUUGGUGAAAGGAAAAAAAAAAAAAAUUACUAGCACAUAAUGCCGAGGUGCCAAUUACUUCAGAUCAUGAAAUAAAGAACACAAUAACAAGGAGAUAAAAGCAGCCUCUUUCUGAACCCAUCCAGGGGUUUUGCCACAAAUAAUUUUUGUUAUACAAUUUACUCCUAUUGUAAAAUAUAUAGCACAUAUCAUAAGAAGUAUCAAUCCUAACAAUCAAGAUAAAAUUUACACAUAAUCAUUUUGUCUUUAUUGUGUGCGCCACAGAGGUCAUUUUUAUAUGCUAUUAGUACAUCACUAUAUGCGAUUUAGAAGGUUUUAAUUGGCUCUUCGUACAACUAAGAUGCCACGUAGAUUCACCACAUAUUAACAGCCUAUAUGUGAUUCUUUGUGGGAAAACUCAAAGCAUUUAAAUUUGAUUUAUCCCAUUGAAAUUGUACUAUAAUAAUAAUAAAAUAAUAAUGCAAAGCGAGCACGUGAGAUUCUUUAACUCAUUCACAGCUGCAGGAUUAGCAAAACAACAAAAAACCGUGCUCGCUCGUCCUUCCCUAACUCUGCAUCUCAUUUUAUUGGGCUAAUGCGAAAGUUCACUCAAAUCUAUAAAAAUAUACGGGUAGAAAAAGAAGAUUAUUCCAUAAAAUCUCGAAAAAAAAAAAAAGUACUGUAGAAAAACUACUUUUUGUUAGAAAAUAUUUAUUCAGUCGUAAAACUAUUUUCUGAAAUUAUUUUUUUGAAGAACAAAACGCCCCCAUAGUGAAUAAAACCCGUAAAUUCAAAUAAUUAAUUCUAGGAAAGAACCUUCACAACAUUUAGUUGAGAAUUUUCCAAGUUUCUACAGGUCAUGCGUGUACGAUUGCGAAAAAUAGUUGUUAUUAAUUAAUUGCUUAUAAAUAAUAAUGAUAUGCUUUUUAUUAAAGCUAAAACUAGGAUAGAAUAUCGAGCCACAUAGGCGCUUGUACACUUCUUGUGACUAAAUUUUAGAAAUUUACCCAAUAAUACGUAUGCUUCUUCGUCGACGACAAAAAGAAUUUGUUUGGAGAAUCCAUGGCCAAUUUCUUUAAAUUGGUGGUUCAUGAAGCAUCCGUACAAUGAAGAGAUAAAUAAACUUUUUAAAAGUUUUUACUCCAACAAAUUAGGUGGCAUGUUUCCUAAAACAAAGUUUAUUUAAAGAUAUAUAGUAAAUAUGAUAUUCAUAUUAACUCUUGUUGCUUCUUGAGAUCGAUCGAUACGUGCAUCAUGCACAUGCUAGUACUGUUCAAACGAGAUGAUACAACUUUAAUUUGUCGUUUAUGGAUAAGAUUGAUCUUUUGUGGAACCAUACAAUGAUUUAAGUCAAAGAUUAAAUUUUAGUUAGAUGCAGGAGUAAAUAAUAAAUAUUGGGUAAUUAAAAAUUUAGAAUCCAUGUAUAUUAAGCCUCAACGAUCAGAUUUAACUCAAAGAUGAAAUUUUAGUUAGAUGCCCGAGUAAAUAAUAAAUAUCGGGUAAUUAAAAACCUAGAAUCCAUGUAUUUGAGCCUCGAAGAAACCAAUACAAAAAAAAAAGAAAAAAGUCAUGAAUAGUGUGUGCAAGGUAUAUUGGGUAUAAGUUAUAUGUAUAAUUAACUACACAAUUGAAGUUAGACCAUUUAAAUGUAUCGCGAUUAUUAUUAUUUAGAUGAAAUAAGGGGGUAACUGGAAGAAGGUAAAAUAUACUUAAGUAUUGUUCCAAUCUACUUGGUUCAUGUAUUCAAUUGAAUAAUUUAGUACCAAAAUUUUCAUAUAUUUUAUUCUUUACAUCUCGGAGGAAAGAAAAAACAAACUUAAAUAAAAUAAUAUUUACUCUUUACCGGUAAUAUUAAUCACUUAUUUUAGUUCAUUUCACAUAAAAUGAGAAGGUCAUUUUACCAGUAAUAUAUAUAUAUAUAUAUAUAUAUAUAUGUAAAACUUAUAACGUUAAAGUAUGUAAAGUUAAAAAUGAAAAAAACAAGUCGAAAUAAUAAAAAAUGUGAUCUACAAGUUUUAAAUUAUAAAAGAGAAAAAUUUAAUCACUAUUUAGAAUAGUUGAUUAGUGUUCUGUUCAUUGAGAUCCAGAUCUGAAUUUUACAGUAGAAAUAUUCAAAAAAUUUCAAAAAAAAAAGAAAUGGCAAUUUAGGAAAUAAAAAGAAAAUAAGGGCCAAGAGUCUGAAACAAAUGAAUGCAUCCUUCAAGGCCUCGCUUUCUCCCUCCUGAGGAAUCGGGAACGACACCCCAGAACAUAGUAAAUAUUAUUAUAACAAAAAUAAAUCUAACAAAAGAAAAAAAACUUCAAGCUUCCUCCUUUUACCCCUUCUUUGCUUCUCUUCUUCCUCCUCCUCCUCCUCCUCCUCCUCUUCCCCAUCAUUAAUGGAGACCCACCACCUUUCCCUCCCCUUCUCCCUCACCCAUCCGCCAUGAACGUAGAUCUCCAUGCAAGGUGUGUGUAUAUAUACAGAGUCUAGCUAUUAUGUUAUUUAUUAGCACCAGGCGUUUGGUACUAUGUACUAAGUUUUUCGCUUUUAGAUCUAACAUUUUGAUCAUUUAAAUCCAUUAGAUCAUACUAUUCAAUCAACAAUCUGCUCAACUCCAGAGAUCACUAUCUUCUUACCAUACAUUCCUUCAUUCAACAACCGAAAACCUAAUAAUACCUAUAACUUUGUGCUAUUAAUAGUAUAGUAACCUAAUUAUAUUUAUAGAGAGUUGAGCUAAAAUACUCUCAGAAGUACCAAGAGAGUGAUGUUUUUGAGUUUUUAGUCAUUGAAUGGAGAAAUGUAAGGUUGGAAUGAUGGUGGUAGGUCGUGGUAGGUGAAAUAGUGUUUGAUCUAAGCGAUAUUAGUAAUCAAGAAGUAGAUCCAAGGACUAGAAACCUAGAAGCACUAAGGGAGUUGGUCUUCUAAAAGUAGUAUAGCCCAAUUUUAUAUAUAUAUAUAUAUAUAUAUAUAUAUAUAUAUAUAUAUAUAUAUAUAUAUAUAUAUAUAUAUAUAUAUAUGAAUUGAGUUCUUAUAUUUUUAAAAAUAUCAAGUUAUUAGUGUUUAUAGGUUCUCGAUUCUUAAAUUAAAGGAUGUGCGGAUAUGAUGAUGGUGGUCCCCUAGAAUUGAGUGAGUGGUUGAUUGGAUAAUAUGAUCUAAUGUAUGAAAAUGAUUAAAAUGAUAAAUUUAAUGGCAAAAAACUUAUAAGUAUCAAAAACUUAGUGUUUUUAAAGCACCAUAACCAGACUUUAUAUAUAUACAUCUUUGGGCAAACAGGAUGGAGCCAGGCAACUGAAAACAUGAUAUAUGCUAACUUCUCUCUCUCCCUUUUCUUUUUGGGUUCAAUUUUAAGUUCAUUCUCUUAUGUAGAUUUGGUGCUUUUAGUGGAAAUAAAAUAUUUGAUGCAACUUAUUGUCUCUAUAUUUUGUUCGCCUCUAUAUAUAUUUUUUAAUAUGAGUUUAUCAGUCUACUUGUUUUUUUUUUCUUCUCUAAUUUAUGUUAUCUUAUGGCUUGUUUGAACUUACGGUAGAAUAUAGUGUUAUCUUGUGGCUUGUUUGAACUUACGGUAAAAUAUAGUGUUGCUGAAUAAAAUGUUCUCUAAAUAAUAUAUUUAUAAAAAAAUUCUUAUUAUAUUUGACUAGCUGUUAGAACAUCGUGUUGCUCAAUAAAAGUGUUAGCUAAAUAAUGUGUUAAGAAAAAAUUCUAAUUAUAUUUGCUUUAAGACAUUAUCUUUUUAGUAGAAGUUUAAGAUUCCUUCAGGAUCGUAAGGAGAAUACAUUACAUAUUUACAUGUCAUGAGAAAGUACCAUAAUAAAAAAUAUUCUGUUUAUUUUCGUAUAUCGAAUUGCGAUUCACAUAUCGUAAUAAGUCAAUUAAGAUAUAUUUUCAAUGAUCUCAUCGAAAAAUAAACUGUAUGUUUUUCGGCCUAAUUCUGCUUUGCCUAUUAGCGUUAGAUAUGUCUCACUAGGAAAUAAGUCCUACGUAGAGCUUCUAUUUUAGGAAGUUACAUUUAUUUCUUUUUUCCUGCUGCAGCACAAGCAUCAGAGUUUUUUUUCUCAGGUCGACAAACACCAUAUAUUGAGAAUAAUGUAGUUGAAUGUAGAAACAAAGGUGGAGCCAAAUAGGCAGUUAAUUUGCUCUUGAUUUGAUACUACUUAUGAUAUGUGCCAUAUACUUUACAAUAGGAGUAAAUUGUAUUGCAAAAAUUAUAGGUGGCAAAACCCCGGGAUGGGUUCGGAGGGUGCUUUUAUCUCCUUGUUCUUGUGUUCUUUUAGCGUGGCAAUUUUUCUCUGCAGGCACAUUUAUUUCAUGAUCGAUCUUAAUUAAUUGACACCUCGGCAUUAUGUGCUAGUAAUUUUCCUUUUUUUUUUCUUUCACCAAUUUUAUUUUUUCUGAUUGUUUUCAUUGAUUAUAAUAUUGGUGAUCAUUUUCUACAUCAAUUUGUAGCAAAGCUGCUUGUUAUGAAUAUGAGAAGCACCUUGAACAAAUCAGAUGUGCUUUUGUAAGUUCUACACUUUUACUUAGGCAUGCUUUUUUUUUUUUUUCUCUUUCCGAUAUUGCUCAUAAGAAUUUCAAUUAGUAUUUCGUAUAAUAACGAUACUAUAUAUACACCAUUCUUCGGCAGCACAUACGCAUGAUUUACGUAUUUGAAUUUUAGAACAUUUCUAUCAAUCGAUGAUCAAUCCACUUGUCAUGAAUUUUGCCGGAAAUGCAAGAUUGGUGUUUAAAGGCACUCGCGAAGAACAAAAGGAGCAGACACCAACAUUGAGAUUCUGAACUAUUAGAAACUAUAUUAUUCUGCAAAGAUACUGACAUUAUUAAACCAGAUAAACAGUAGAAAUAAUUGGUGCAUUGAGCUUUACAUUACACUAUUCUUGCUAAAAGGAACAGACACCAACAUUGAGAUUCUGAACUAUCAGAAACUAUGUUAUUCUGCUAAGAUACUGACAUUAUUAAACCAGAUAAACAGUAGGAAUAGUUGCUGCGUUUGAGCUUUACAUUACUCAAAUUGUGAUACUCGUAAAUAAAAAGGGGUGCAGAUUCAUGCUUUGAUCCGCCAACAUAUACAUAAAGAUAGCUUCUUGCUGUCUCUAAAACUCGCAAAAGCGUAAGAAUCCUCUAUUUACAAAGCGAAGCAAGAAUACGCCGAGGAGGUUCAAACGACCGCCUAGAAUGCAGAACGGCCAAAUUAUCCACUAAAAGUACAUCGCCCUGCUUCCAAGGAACAGCAACACACUCCUCUUCGAGGAUUUUUAGGCAUUCGUCGAUGAUGUCCGACGGCAACGGCGACCCGUCUCCGAAAGUAACAGCCUUGAGAGGAUCGUUUCGGGCGUCCUUCCAUCCAGUGUACGCAGCUACCAUGCUGUUAAACCAUAUCUUCCUUCCCCUGCUCUCGUCGAACUUAACAGCGGGUAUCGGACCCAUUAUUGUUUUCACUCCGUCGUCCAACCAUUCCAACUUCAUACCAAGUCGCGCAGCCCUAGUACAUCGGCGAGGAAGAAUGUUCAAAAUUUAACUGUUCUUGAACUCGCUAUAGUAGUAAAUUUAGAUCACAGGAGAUGGAACAAAACUAACAGAUAAUCGACAGCAAGAGGCAUAUUGCACGAAAAUCUCUCAGAAAAAUUACUGCUUGAUUGCAAGAAAUGCACUUUGAUCACUUGAUAUCUAGAAUGUUCGAGCCAGUCAAAUUAAUGCACGUAAAUUUCGAUAUCUCUGACGAUCGCUAGUCAACCAGCGCGAGAGAAUCUUAAAGCUUUGAACUGAACUCCGAGUCAGACUCAGAAUCAAUCAUCACUUGUGCACAAGCUCCGGUCGGGUCAAGCAGACUCUAAAACAUAAUUAUCCAACUAUAUAUAUCACACACAAGUACCUGCUACAAUGGGGGUGGCUUAAACCGUAAGAUAAAGCAAGAUUAGCUACUGAUAUCGGAUCUAGUGCGAUGCGAAUAUAUGGAAAAUGAAAGCAGACCUUUGCUCAGCCACAGCUUUGUCAUUGGUGAGGAAUGUGGACUGCCACCCGCGGCCGAUCGGCGAAGACGGAUCAUCUCCUUCCCCUAAAACUCUUGUGUAAAUUAGCCCCUGCUGCUCCAGUUUCUCCACAAACUCUGGGAAUUUCCCCUUCAUCCUCUUAUAGAUGUAAUGGCUCAAUACGAUGGGUGUCUCACCACCACUUUUGGGCUCCUCCUCGCAGAAGAAGAACAGCUUGGAUGGGAACUCCGGAACCUAAAUUCAAAAACACACAUAAAAAAUUUACUUACUCCUUAUGAAUAGUCCCACAUCGGAUCGGAUAAUUAGUAAAACUAGUAGUAAAACGUUCCAACGGAGAGAAAUGAACCUGGGCCAUCUCGUGGUGGAAGGGGAUCUUCUGGUCCGGGGGGGACUCGUUGGCGGUGAAGACCCGGCCCACCACGUUGGUGCGCGGGGCGGCGCCGCCCACGUAGGGGAGCUCCGCGUACCCGAAAGCGCCCACGGCCCGGUCGAAGUCGACCGCGCUCCGGACCGGAAACCCGCGGAGAAUGAUCGCCCCGCUCGACCGGAGCAGCGACUCGAGCCGGGCUUUUUCGGCCCCCACCGCGGCCGCGAACUGGUCGAGGUCGACCGGUUCGGCCGGGGUGAGCACGGCCGGGAACCGGAUCCCCUCGACGACCCUUUGCUGGGGGAGCGUCGACUCCACGAAGAGCCCGGAGGGCAUUUUCGUAAUUUCCACUGCUCUCCUGCUUCUACUUCUUCCGAUGGUGAGAAAUUUGCUGGAGAUGGAGGAAGGUUCGAGAAAAAAAUAAAAAUUAAAAUUAAAAAGGGGAGGUUUUUGCGGGUUGAUGAACCUAGACGUCAUUUGGGUUAGAGGAGAGAGAAAUGAAUACUCCGUGGAAUUUUUGUUAUGUAUUGCCAAAAAUUGUAGCCCACGGAGGCGUUGAUUGGUUGGAAGGGAAAAUCACAGCCGUUGAUCAUCGGAAGGUUCAAUUAUGAGCCAGAUUUUUAUUUAUUCCAAUUACUUAAAUUACUAAAUUAACAUUUUUUCUAUUUUUGGUUUAAAGAAAUAAAUUAUUACUAAUUUGAAUGAAUCGAAUGUUGCAUAAUUUCUUCAAGAGAGUAACAAUAUUUAGAGUUUAAUUUAAUGGAUUAAUAAUAUAAUUAAUGUUAAGUAACUUAACUAAAAUAAAUUAAAGUUCCGUAGAUAAAAUUUCGCCCAUGGCGAAAUGUUGUCGAGAAUUGAUAAAAUAGAAAAAGUAAAAUGAAUGGAACCCUAGAUCUUUAUACUGUGUAACAUAGUUUGAUCUCAAAAAUGGUUUGAUCGUGACUUGUUUUUUGUGUGGGCACCAACUUUUAAAUAAGCCAAUCUCGAUUUACGAUUUCGGCAUUGAUUCGUUGUUAAUUUGGUUAUCUGGAAAAGUUUGAAAAAAAAAAAAAAUGCCUUGGCAAUUUUUUUAGUUUUCAGACUAUUUAGUUCUAAAAAAUAAUAUUUUUUAAACAUGUUCAUAUUUUAUAAAAAAAUAUAAUUUUUAUUUUUUAAAUUUGUUUUGGAAAACGAACAUUUUAUUUUUCCACAAAAUAUAGAAUUUUUUGAAAGAACAUUAAUUUUUCUUCGAAUUUUUCCACAGUUUAAGUAAGCUACAUAAAUUAAAUAAUUUAAUUUAAGUAGCUUACUCGCCUGACCUUUCGGCCCAUUCUGAAUAGGUGGGCCGAAACCUCGGAUCCUAAAAGUUCUCCAAUUCUGGCCCAAAAAGCAAUUGAGACUUAUCCAUCCAAAUUCGGCCCAAGAUAAACGGCCGAAUUAAGCUAAUUAAUUAUUUAAUAAAUUUAUAGUUUCAAGAAUUAUAUAAAAAGUAUUAACUAAAUGCGGAAGUAUAAACGAUACAUUUAAAUUUUUUUAGUCAGAGUAUCUCUGGCAGACUAUGGUUCUUGUUGUAGUGAUUGCAAUUUUUCUCAUCAUUUUUUUAAGCGAAACAUAACACACUACUAGUUUCAUUCAUUAUAAAAAUAAAUUUAGCUACAAAAGUGAAACAACUAAGCCUCCAAAAAGUCGAGGCAAAAGAGCAAAAGAAAUAACAAAAAAAAAAAAAAAAAACCGCAAACAAGAAAUAAAGUACAAAUACAAAAGCAGAUCCAAGAUUUGCAAAACUCUAGCCCAGUUCCUCAUGAAACCUCUAUGCACCAUCGCCCUAUACUCAAGGGAUCCGUGCAUGCUAUCCUUGUUUCUUUCCGUCCAUACCAACCACGAACAACCCACUAAAUGACAAAUCCCAUGGCCGAGAACUCGGCGUUCCUUUUCCGUUGCUAGGCUCAUCCAAAGAGCUCUAACAUUGUCCGUGCCAACAAGUACCUGGACCCACCGACCGUCCCUAAAGCAAGUGACAAAGGACUUGGUAGUUGGUACCCGAGACCUAAGUUCGAAUUCUAGUUGAUUCACAUUUCCAGCUAAGUUUAUUUAUAAAUGAAAUAAACAAAACAGUUAGCGUGCUAUUUAUCUCUCAAAAAAACAAGUACCUGGAUCCAAUCAAGGGACGACAAUAACAAAAACCUACAAUAAACAUAUACAGUGUAAAAAAAGAUGAUCGACGCUCUCAAUCUUUCUCAUCAUUUUUAUUAUCAAUAUCUAAAUAUCGAUAACAACUCUAAACAAUUUUGGAAAAAUCGGACACUAUAGAAUAUAUAUAUAUAUGUAUAGAAUGAUCCGAAGAAUUUAGGUAACUUCACAACAAAAUUCCACGAAUUUUCUCGUUUAAUGCGAAGCCCGUUUAUCCAUUUUAAGAUUCGGAUGUAAUAACAAAAGCGACGAUAUGCACAAUACCAAAUCCACCGGCAACAUCUCGAUCCCCUUUUGUCUUUAUUUGAAAAAGAAUCCAUAAUAUUCUUAUUUAUUUAUUUAUUUAUUUGUUUAUUUACUUACUGUAGUUUUUAUUGUUGUUAUUUUCACGUGGCAACGGUUGGUGAGAAAAUAAGAAGAGACAAGCGGAACAUACACUAGAUGGUAAGAAAAGGUCGAAAAUAUAUAUAUAUAUAUAUAUAUAUAUAUAUAUAUAUAUAUAUAUAUAUAUAUUGAUAAGAUUGUAAAAAAUAAAUAGAUCUGUAUUUUUUUUUUCUACCGUAUUUUUUACUGUAGAAAUCAUAAUCUUUCAGCUCCUCCAAAUAAAACCUAAAUAUUAUAGUGUCAGAUUAAAAAAUUUAGAAUAAAUAUAUUUGGAGGAAAAUGCUUCUGUACUGAGUUGUCAAAAUUAGAAAGUCAUAAAAAAAAAAAAGCAAUUUCCAUCUUUUCAUCAUUAAAGAUUAACACUUUUGAAAUUUUAAAAAUCAUCCUGUUAGUUGUGGUAAUAAUUUUAGGUACAAUAAUUAUUGUUGUAUCAGGUGCAUCUAUUUAUUUUAUGCACUAAUAUAUAUGUUUAAAAUCCCUAUUAGCUAGAUUUAAUUAAAAUUAAAGUUUAAUUUAGUAAAUAUAUUUUACCACGUCUAGAAUGUUUGUUUAUAUUAAAUUAUUAAUUUUGAACACAUAUUUUCUUUAGAACCAAAUAAUAUUACUUUUACAUGGCGGUGGUUUUUCAAAUAUCUGUCGUCAAGACAAUGGAUUUUCAAAAUUUGUAGGUUUUAUAUAUAAAAAAUUUCUUAAAUAUUAUAUGUGCAUAUUGAUAACUUUAUUUUAAUUUGAAAUUAAUGAAUGAGAAAAAAAUAUUAUAGAGGAAAUUUCAUAAAUUCAACUCUAUUUUUUAAAGCCCUCACUAUAGUUAGAUUAAUAUGCGGUGCAUGAGACCGACCGUCUCUAGAGCAAGUGACAAAGGACUUGGUGGUUGAUACCCGAGACCCAAGUUCAAAUCCUAAUUGAUUCACAUUUCCAGCUAAAGUUUAUUUCUAAAUAAAAUAAACGAAUCGGAUAGCGUGUUAUCUAUCUCUAAAAAAAAAAAAAAAAAAAAGAUGCGGCGCAUGAGGUUUCUUGACAGCCGAUGUAGGUAAUGUUUUUUUCUGAAUUAAUCGGUGAAAAACUUUGAGAUGGCACCGAUUUGACGUAUCGAAUAAUCAGUAUGGUGGAAAAUGGUUGACAAGCAAUAGUCUAAGUAACAUAUGGACCGUUUGAUCAGAAAAUUUAAGUAUAGAAGCAUUGCUCAUUUUUUCAGUAAAGCAUUACUCAUAGAAGAAUUUUAUAGGAAUAAUUAAAUUUACCACUAUAUUUUGAAAACAACGGAAUUAACUUACUUACAUCAAAAUAAAUAAUAAAAUUAAAAAAACUAAUUUUACCGGCAUCAAAUUACACAAAAAAACAAACAGAAAAAUAAGUGAAUUCAAUUUUUAGACCGUACGAAUUAUAUCAAAAUAAAUAUUAAAAAAAUAAUCAUAUGUUAGAAAAAUUUAAAUAUUACUGUACUUAAAUUAUAUUGGAUCUAAAGAUUCGUCAAUUCAAACGCUCAGACGCACCGUUAGUCUUGGCACGAGCACAAUUGAACUUUUGCAAUACUGUUCUCGGCUACGAGACGACGAAAUGUGGUCCAUCGAGAAAAGUCGUAACCUAAUUCGCGCCGCCCAAUCCCUUUCAUUCUGGAAUAUCAGUACUGCAGCGUCCGAAUCUUAAAGCAAUCACGCAAAUCUCGAGACACUUUUGUUGGUUAUAAGAGUCUUUAUUUCGAGUUAAAGGAGGGGAGUUAUGAUGGACGCGGAAAGAGUUAUGAGUCAUUAUCAUACUCAUUGAAUCGGAUCUAAAAGCAUUUAAAACAAUUGGGAAAAUAAUUGUAGCCAAUGUGCUCUCGUAGGCCACGUGAUUUGUGUGGUUCCUAUGGGCUCGUUCACCACGACCAAUAAAACCGUGGCUCAUUUGCAUCAAAUUUGUUGUGUGCGCGUUUCAUGAUCGUGGAGUGCUUUAGCCACCGUUUGGUUGCGGGGUUAAGGGGUGGAAUAACCCCUUAACCUCCAAUUUAUAUCCAAACAUCAUUCUUUUGGAAUGGGAUUAGUAAACCCAUCCCAAAUCAGAUUAGUGGGGUUUACUAACCCCACUUCCCCUCCCAACUUUAAUCCCGCACGUAUCCCGAGCUCUCACUUUUUUCUUCUUUAUCAAUCAUUAACCCCACUCCCCCUCCCAACUUUAACCCCGCACGCAUUCCGAGCUCUCACAUUUUUCUUUUUUAUCAAUUAUUAUCUUUUUAUCCCACCUAUUCCAACCAAACAUUUUUUUUCAUUAUCCUAGACUAACUCCAACCUCCAACCAAACAUAAAAAAAUUUUAACACCAUUUUAAUCCUAAACUUAACCCUAUUCCUGGAAUAACUAUUUUUUCUUAAUCCCGAACCAAACGGGGGCUUACGUUGCUGGACCAGCAACUUUAACUCCACAAUCCAAUCAAACUAGAACCAAAAAAAAAAAGAAGCCAUUAAAGUAUGGUUGUUUUUCAUUUAAUUUAUGGUGGUAUUUAACAGUUUUCGGAUCGUAUUUGUUCUCGCCGAUAUUUGAAAUGUUAUAAUGUGAUUGAAUUAGAGUUUAAAAGCUUACAUUAUGUAGUUCAAAUAAUAAUUUGAGGAGGAAAGAACGGUGGAAAUGAUAUGAAAUAAUCGCAUCUAGCUAACUUGUUAAUAAUUUUUCAAUACGCGAAUUGUUUUUGACCAUAGACGGCGUAAUCAGAACAUUAAAAAAUUUCAAGUUUUAUUUAAUUUUUAUAAAUAAAUUUAUCUAAAAAUAUAAAGUAACUAAAUUUCGCACUUACAACCGCAGAUAUUAAUCAGAAGUUUUAGCCAACUAUGCUCAAUAGUACUAAAUAGAUAAAUGCAUUCAGAGUUUAUUCGCACUAUAAACUAUUUUGAGUAAGCUACCUAAAUUUUGAUUUUACUUUUUAUCUGAUUUGAGUUAGUCACCGGUAAUAACUGAUUCAAAAUAAUUUACAAUUCAGAUAAAUUUUAUAUAUUAAUAAAUGGAGUUGAUAGAACUUCCAAAUUGACGACCGGCUCUGUUGAGCAUGAUUUAUACCACUUGAAAUAUUUAGAAAUCAAAUUUCAAAUCUUUUCGAUAUCAUUUGUCUAAUGAUUAAAGGGUUUUAAAAUUUGUAAUUUUAAUGGUCGAUAAGAGACGUUUUCUCGUUUAAUGGCCUAAAGAUAUCCAAAUCAAUUAAAUUUUUGUUAGAAAAUUCUUUAAACUAUUUAAAACAAGAUCUAUACUCUUGAUCUUGAUUACAAGAUUCCUAUCAUCAUUUUUUAAAGAGUAUUUAUUUUCAGCCAUUCAUUUUUCUGUUCAUUUGAUGGAUAAAAGAACAAUAUCGAAAGUGCGUGAAAUUUGAUUUCUAGGUAGUUUAAAUGAUUUAGAUCAUAUUUAACGAAGCCGAUCGUCAAUUUGGAAGCUCUAUCAUCGAAAAUAAAUCGGUAGUAAAACGAUUCGUUUACUACCCAUAGUAUUUUAGCUCAACUCUUAAUAAAUGUUAUUGAAUGGUCUCAACUAAAACAGCAUCUUGUGUGUACCAUCAUUGGUGGCCACAGUGUGUCCACGCUUCCCCCUUAUUUAAAGAGGGGUUAGGUACAACCCCAACACAAUUCUCCCAACAAAUUCCCCCAGCAUUUCCAUGUGAUCUAAUAAAUAUAUAUGGAUGACCCCUGUACUAUCUUUAUCUUGCAAGGACGUCUUUGUACAUUUUAUUUAUUUUAGAUGACAUAGUCUCCGAGCUUUUUUUUUUUUUUUUUUUUUUUUUUGAGAGAUAGGUAGCACGCUACCUGCUUCGUUUACUUCAUUUAGAAAUAAACUUAACCGAAAAUGUGAAUCAAAUAGGAUUCGAAUUUGGGUCUCGGAUACCAACUAGCAAGUCCUUUGUCAUUUGCUUUAGGGACGGUCGGUAAGCAUUGUUGCUUAUAAAAUAAUAUUUUUUUCAACCGGUUGAUUACUUUAUUGCUUUUAUAAGAUCUCUCACUUUCUUAAAUUAAAUUUAAAUAAAAUAAAUGAUCUAUUUUAUUAUAAAUUUAAAUUUUUUGGACUUGAAAAAUUAAAGUGCAGUGUAUAUAAAUCAAAAUUUGAAGUGUUUUUUUUUUGUAAAUAAGAUACAUAAACAUCAACUUGUAAGAUCAGAAAAGUACAAAAGCUCUACAAAUAUUUAACUCUACAUUAUUAUUAGUCCGUAAAAACGUGCAAAUAUUUUUCGACCAUUGCUAUUUUGAAAUGGUCUCUCAACACCCGCUAGGAGGUGAUAUAUUGAUUUUGAAAUGGUCGCUUAUUUUUCCAUCUCUCUCCGUGCAAUUCAGCAAGUGAUAUGUCGACACGUGUAUAGUGGGCGUGUUUUCCUGUUCGGGACGACACAGGCGAUGCGUGCACGCUGCUCCAAGAAGCGUGCGCGGGUUGGGUUACCUGUCGCCGCGUGCACGCGUUUCCCACGUGACCGACGAAUUAGUCCGAGUCGUACAAAAGCACCGGAGUUUGUUGUCUCAUGCACCCCGUGUUCCCGUACACCCCGUACACCGCAUUCAUAAGAUCCCAAAAUAAAAUAAAAUUAUUUACUCACCAAAAGUAUCCUAUGCCAUUCAGAUUUCAGAAGAAAUAUAAAUAAGUUUUCAUGCUGUUUAAUAUUUUUAUAUACGUACGGAACUUUUAUUUUGUGUAUCUAUUAAAUUAUUUUAUAGGUGAGAUGUGUAAUUCUACCAUAUUUAUUUAAGAAUUAAAAUGCUACUUUUUAUGAAUCCACACAUCACAUGUUUUGUAUAGAAUAAUUUAUUAUCAAAUAUUCUAGUCCGAAAUGUAAAAGAUGGAUGUAUAUUAUAAAUUAUUAAAAUUCAACAAUUAAAGGUUAUAAUCUAAUUUAUUAAAUGUGUUUUAUAAUAAUUUUAUAAUGUUUGUUGUACUAAAAGAAAUAUGAAUUUUAAUCUUGCGUUGAUUUUUUAUGUUAAAUGCCCUGGUUUUAGGAAAUCACCGGUAGAAAAAUGGGUGCAGCGUACGGGGAGUGUGUGUGCACCAGGUGCAGGCAAUAAUUCAUAACUUUCCAGAACACCGCAUCGGACGGUUGGGAGUUGGCGUUAAUAUCUUGGGAUUCGGAUCUUGUUGUUGCUCUUUGUCCUUCGCUUUCGUGUAAAAGUGUAAACAUGGAUGAACCUCCCCCAGUCGCCGCUUACGGGGAAAACUACGGGGCGCAUUAACACCCAAAGCUACCGCACCCACCAUUCACACCGACUCAUAGGGCCCACUCAAGAGGAAUCACUGAAUGGACCAGUUCCACCACGUCAGCUAUGAGCCGAGGCAUUUGGUUUUGAAUAUAUAUAUAUAUAUAUGUAUAUAAUUUACCUCUAAGAGUUUGUUGAAAUAAAUAAGAAAAGACAUAGAUUCUUCAAUAAUGUCAGAAAAAAAUUGAUUAGUACUACUAUUUUACUUUAUUUCUAAAAGACAAAAUCAGUUUUUCAUAAAUAAAGAUAAUUCAAUAAUAAAAUCUUUCAACUAAUAAUAAGAUCACUUAAUUAUAGAUUAUAGAGAAACCUUAAUAUAAUUUUAGCAUAUAAAAAUUUUAAAGGUUUUCUUUAAUUGGCACUAUAAAAAUAACUAGCAAAAAUAUUUUUUUGAGAGAAAAAUAAUUUGUUAUUCACUUCGUAUAUUUUUUUAAAAUAAAUUCAGUUAAAAAUAUAAAAUAAUUAGGCUUUAAAUUUUAAAUUUUGAAUACCAAAUUAUUAAAUUUUUUAUCACUCACGCGGAAGACGACCAGCGAUAGCUGCGAGAAAUUAAUUUGGCUGUUCUAUGAAGUGUGCAAAGUGCACGGAUGAUGUGGUGGACCAGGUCCAGGCACUAAUCUGCCAGUCACGUGGCAUCCAAAGGUGACACGUGUUCUACAGUUCUCUUCCAGGUUCCCCUGUCCCUCUCUCCUAUAAUCCUCCUCUUCUCUCUCCAUUUGGGAGAACCAGGGAAGAGAGAGAGAGAGAGAGAGAGAAAGAGAGACCCACCACCCCUCCUCCUUUCUCUCCCAUAAAACCAUAAGACACAUCCCCGAGAGACUCUCUCUCUCUCCUCUCUCUUUCCCCCCCCUUUUCUCUCGUAAAAUUAUAAUUUACUCCCUGGAAUUAAAUCAAUUUCAUCUUAAUUAUCUCAAAUAAUUUCCCCAAAUAAUAAUAACAUAACAUAACAUAACAUCAUUCAUAACCCCACCGAUCUUUUCUCAUUGCUCCACACGCGUGCCUCCUCGCCCCGCCUUUAACGCUUCCUCUCCUUUUAUUUUAUAUUUUAUAUUUUAUAUUUCCUUUAUUUCUGUACAAAUUAUUAUUGUUAUUAUUUAUUAUUUCUCGGAAUUAAUCCCAAAAUAAUCGGUAUAAAAAGGGGGCCUUUGUGUGUUGUGUUUGUUGCGUUCUCUUCGCUUUCCAUUUCGCGUAGAGCUCGAAAGAGAGCAACAGGUUGUGUCGAUCGCAGAGGAGAAGAGCUGCGGCGGUGAGGUUACCGGCGGUGGUGCGCUGCGGGGUUUCGAGGAGGGGGGUGGUCAUGGAGACGGAGACGAAGACGACGACGACGACGACGCAGGAGGAGGUGGAGGCCCUGAUGGAUCCGAAGAGCACCGUGGGGGGCGGCGUCGAGGACGCCUACGGCGAGGAUCGCGCCACCGAGGAGCAACUCGUCACACCCUGGACCCUCUCCGUCGCCAGGUUCGGAUCCCAUUGCCCCCAAACCCUCCCGCUUUCGAUUCGAUCGUUUGAUCCUGUUCCUCUUCGCUAGAUCUAAUUUUCCGAAUCGAUUAUCGUGCGGCAUUGCCGAUUUGAGUCGAGAAACGCGAGAUCGGAUCUGUUGUUGAUUUUGUUUCAGUUUUUUUUAGAUCUAGUUUCUGGAUCGAGUAUGGUUAGUUCCGUUUCCAAUUUUAUUAUUUUUAGCCCUAAUGUUGUUUACCACGUGGAGCUCCAUUAUUGCCCCUUUUCCGAAUAUUCGAUUGUGUCUGUACAAGGGUUUAUAGUGACAGGUGCUUUUUUUUGGUGGGCAAUUUUAAGUUAUUCUUGUAAGACACGAUCGGAUUAUUAUGUAAUUUAUUAAGUUAUUCGUCUUUGUUUGUUUCGUCAAUUUUAGAAUUAAUUUACUAUUUAUCCUUUUAUUAUUUUUUGCCCUUUGGUGUGGUUUCGUAGCAAUGUUUACUGCAUCAGUUCAGUUGGUUGUUGUCCAAAAUGUGAACCACUCGGCCUUCUAAUUAUUUCGUAUACCUCCAAACCAUUUUUAGUUAAGAGUAAUUUUCUUAAAAAAAAAAAUUGGGGAAAGUUUUGCUUUGUCUUAUAGAUCUGUUCCCGAAUGAAGCCACAGUUCAUCAGAUUCUGAUCUUAUACCGGUCAUAGUGUUUGGCAAUAUUUCGUUGGAUCAGCUGUAAUGAAUCUUAUAAUGCUGUUCAAUUAUUUCAUUUAGCAAAUCUAGUAAAGAGCAUGUUUUUAUUGCCCUUCUUCCUCAGUGGUUACAAUUUAUUGAGGGAUCCGCAUCACAACAAGGGCCUUGCUUUCAACGAAAAGGAGAGAGAUGCCCACUACUUGCGAGGCCUCUUGCCUCCGGUUGUUGUCUCUCAGAAGCUCCAGGUUUGUAUUCAUUUAACUCUUGUAGAAACUUCUAUCCAUUAUGCGGUAAUUUGUAUUUACGUACACGUUAUGCUUGCCUCUGUUUCUUAGGAAAAGAAGCUUAUGCACAAUCUUCGCCAGUAUAAGGUCCCCUUGCAGCGAUAUAUGGCGAUGAUGGAUCUCCAGGUAAUCAACCGCCUUUGUCCUUCCCCUUUGUUAUGCCAGUGCCUUGCACUGGAGUUUUACAGAGAUCUAGUUGGUAAUGAUUGUUAAUGGUUGGCAAUUGAAUGUUACAUUUCCUACAGGAAAUGAACGAAAGGCUUUUCUACAAGCUUCUGAUUGACAAUGUCGAGGAGUUGCUCCCUGUCGUUUACACUCCAACAGUCGGUGAGGCUUGCCAAAAAUAUGGUAGCAUUUUCAGGCGUCCGCAGGGUCUAUAUAUAAGUUUGAAAGAGAAGUGUGUUCUUGAUCUGUUCCAUUGCUUUACAUGCCAUCGAUGUCACUUCUCAUUUCGAGCAAUGGAUAAUGCAGGGGGAAGAUUCUUGAGGUGCUAAAGAACUGGCCUGAGAAGAGGAUUCAAGUUAUUGUCGUCACUGAUGGUGAGCGCAUUUUGGGGCUUGGAGAUCUUGGUUGCCAGGUGAAAUAUCUGAAUCAGAAUUCGGCAUAUUUUCUGGAUGUUCUGUUGAUUUAGACUGAAAUUUUGAUUGCACUGCUUAGGGAAUGGGGAUUCCGGUGGGCAAGCUUUCUCUAUAUACUGCCCUCGGAGGAAUUCGUCCGUCUGCUGUGAGUGUUUUAGAUCUUGUGCUUUUAAUCGAGCAGAAAUUUGUCUUAUAUACUAUUUCUUUUGCAAUUGCAAUUGCAAUUAUUUGGUGUAUACGUAUAUAUGCUGUCACCUGUUAGAUGAAAACACCAGAAUCUGACACUAAAAUUUUGGUAUUAUUCCUGCUGUUUUUUUAUUACAGUGCCUUCCCAUCACAAUUGACGUGGGGACAAAUAAUGAGCAGCUGCUCAAUGAUGAAUUCUACAUCGGGCUAAGGCAGAAGCGUGCUACUGGCAAGGUAGUUUAUAACUUGGUAAACUUGCAGAUAUUGCUUCCAGUCAAAUUUCAUUUGAAGUGAUAAAUGUGGAACUUAUAUUUUGAAUAGGAAUAUGCGGACUUAUUGCAUGAGUUCAUGUGUGCUGUUAAGCAGAACUAUGGCGAGAAAGUCCUUAUUCAGGUCAGUCAUGGUGAAGACAUUUAUUUACUUUUGUAGUUGAGUGUCAAAAAUACCUCUUAUCAAAAUUCUUAGUGGCUUUUAACUAUUUAAGUUUGUAUAUUUCUGCAGUUUGAAGACUUUGCUAAUCAUAAUGCAUUCGAUUUGCUGGCAAGAUAUUGCAAGACACAUCUCGUUUUCAAUGAUGACAUCCAGGUAAGGUGUUCUUGUUCUAAUUCCCUAUUUGCUCUUAGUAUUUGUUGAACUCAUUGUUCCCUUAAAUUAUGGGUGUUUUUUUACUUCUUUCUGUUUACAAGGCAAAUAUAUGAUCUGCAGGGAACAGCUUCUGUAGUUCUCGCUGGGCUAGUUGCAGCAUUGAAAUUGGUUGGUGGAACUUUAGCAGAGCACACUUACUUAUUCCUUGGUGCUGGUGAGGUUAGUCAUUCAUGGCUUUGUGAUUGCUUGGUUUAGCCCCUAGAUUUAAUUUGAUGACUUUUUUUGGUCUGAAAGAUGAAUUAUGAAGAUACAGGACCAGGUCCAAAUUUGGAAGCUUGAGCAGAUGAACUGUUUCAAACAAUCUGAAUCCCCAAUAUCAAAAUUUGGUUUGUAAAUUUUGCCAGUCAUUGAUCCAUUAUAUUUACACAAUUUUUGCAGGCUGGAACUGGUAUUGCUGAGCUUAUCGCUCUCGAGAUAGCAAGACAGGUAUUCAACCUUUAUCUACAAGCUGCAAAUAUACUCUUGAGCUUCCUUACUCUUAAGAGGAGUGCUCUGAAAUCAUUUUGAACAUAAGUAUUAAUUGGUUAUCGCAUUUGUGGGAGUUAUACUAGUAUAUGUCAUUUAUUUAUUUAUUAUUAUUAUUUUUUUAUCACUCUGCCAGACAAACGCUCCCAUUGAAGAGUGUCGCAAGAAGAUUUGGCUUGUAGACUCUAAGGUAUAGGGAUCAAACAAAGAAGAUUUUUCAUCAUGCAAUACGGAUAUGCAGUGCUGGUUUCAAUUUUCUUCUUUCUUUAAUGAAACUAAUUUCUUUUAUUUAUUUCACAGGGUUUGAUUGUUAGCUCCAGAAAGGAGUCCCUUCAACAUUUCAAGAAACCUUGGGCACAUGAACAUGAACCUAUUAAAAACCUCUCAGAUGCUGUUAAUGUAUGAAGUCCCUUAACACCCCUAUUAUUUUCCUUUCUAUCCAUUAUUUUCAUGCAAAUUUCGUUACUUGCAAUUCGUUGCUGUAUUUUCUAAUUCACUAUCAGAAUCUCACUUCUGUGCAUUUGUAAUACUGGUCUAACAGCAUGUUUAUGUUUAAAUAUUGAACAUUUCAUUUAUGGGGCCAUAGAAUGUCUCAUUUUUUAUGUCAAUAGCCCAUAUCCAUGUGAGACUAUACAUAACUUCAUCCUGCUAUUGGUGUUUUUUGAAUUGCUGACCACUUGAAUGAAUCCAGCUUCUGUACCGCCUUGCAUAAGCUAGCAAGGGUCCUUUCUGUGGUACUUAGACCAACACCAUUAACUUGCUGCAUGCUAGGAAUGUGAUUUAUAUUUACUAAUUUGCUUCUGUAGGUGUAAGGUUGCAGUGCUAGAGAUUCUGUUGACUUACAACAGGACUUGUCCUGUUAUUACUUUUUUUUCUUAGUUGCUAUAGUGUUAACAAUAAGUAGUUUUAAUCUUUUAAUGAAAAUUUUCAUAUAUUGCUGUUUCACGUAGUCCAUCAAACCAACUGUGUUGAUCGGAACUUCUGGAGUGGGGAAAACUUUCACAAAAGAUGUUAUUGAAGCCAUGGCUUCCUUUAACGAGGUACUAUUGUAUACAUUUUUCAGGCCAUCCUUUCAGCUUGAUCACUUUUUUGGCUGGAAACUGACUUGACUAAAAAAAAAUGCAGAAACCUAUCAUUCUUGCAUUAUCUAAUCCAACUUCCCAAUCUGAAUGUACUGCUGAGGAAGCAUACAAUUGGAGUAAGGUGAAACUCACACUUUGAUUUCUCUGCAAAAUGAUAUAUUUACAUUUAUGUUCCUGGAAAAUCUGAAUUUUCAGCUGUUCAAAAAUUAAGUUUCCUACGUAUGUACACUUAUACUUAACAAAAUGCUCAAUUUAAAUUGAGUGAACUGUUGUAAGAAACUGCACCUUUGGGGAGCAUAUAUAAAAUUCAGAUUAUUUUCAGGGCAUGUGUAAUAGAUGAUAAUGUAAGGCUAUGUACAUGUAAAAGCCCCUUGUAUAUAUAUGUUGCUACAUUCAGGAUCACACUAAAAGAUUAAUUAGCAAACUGCUUCAUGCUGAAACCCUCUUUUAUUUUGCAGGGCCGUGCAAUCUUUGCUAGUGGAAGUCCUUUCGAUCCUGUUGAAUAUGAGGGAAGGAUCAUUAUGUCUGGCCAGGUUUGAACUUUGCAUUCUCUGGAGGGGACCACGAAGGUUGCUAAAUUCAUUAAGGUGCUUUUAGACUAAUUUCCAUGUCACUCUUUCAGGCAAACAAUGCCUACAUAUUCCCGGGUUUCGGUCUCGGACUGGUCAUCUCUGGAGCCAUUCGUGUCCAUGACGACAUGCUUCUCGCUGCCUGUAAGUGAACUUUAAGGAGAAUUUUACCUCUAGGAUUUGGCUUCUAGUUCUUGAAACUUCUAUGCUUAGUUAGAUUUUCUUUUGUUCUAGGGAUAUAUAUUCUGGCCACCCCUCAAUUUAGUUUUAUGUGACUGCAAACUAUUGCUAAAAACCGAUGGAUAUAAGUGUUGGGUUUUGUCGCUUAAUUAUAUAUCAUCAGAUUGUUCAUAUACUUAUUUUAAAAAUCAAAGGUUUAUGCGGCCAUCUGUUAAUUGUUUAAAAUCAACUUCGUGUGUUGCCGAUAUAUAUUAUUAUUCCCUUUGUUCUGUAACUCAACAAAACAUCUUAGAAGACAUGCUUGGGCAGUUUAUGAUUGGAAAUUCCUCGUAAUCAAUGAGUGAAAUUAUUAUGCUUGCAUAAACUCGACAAUCGAUGAAGCUGUUUGUCUCAUUGGCCCUUUAACAGCCGAGGCGUUAGCUCAAGAGGUGACGCAGGAGAACUUCGACAAAGGGCUGAUCUAUCCUCCCUUCACUAACAUCAGAAAGAUAUCUGCUCACAUUGCAGCUAAGGUUGCUGCUAAGGCUUAUGAACUUGGUAUUUGUUUCCCCCCUCUCCCGCUUUUUUUCUUUUCCCUUUUCACGGCAACCAAAUUUUUAUCGCCUGGGCUCUUAACUUACAAUUUGUUUCUGUCCUUUUGGGUUAAGGUUUGGCGACUCGUCUUCCUCGCCCGGAAGACCUGGUGAAGUACGCGGAGAGUUGCAUGUACACUCCGGUCUACCGCAGCUACCGGUAAAUCAUUGGCCCUCAAUUUUGUAAUUGAUUAUAAGUAUAGGCUAUUUAGUUCCAUAAUUUAUGCCAUCGUUUGUUGUUGUUUCUUCAAAGUGGUGUAGACGUGUAGACAUUUUGAGUUUGGUCAUGGCUCAUAAUUUGUUAAUCUUGUAAUGCUUUAAUUAAAUGCAAUGAAGUCAUAUGUUUCCACAGAAAUAAAAAAAGACCAAGUUUUAUUCAUAAGAAAAAGAAGAAAAAUUACACUAUGAUAUGUUCCGGUGGACAAGGAUGGCUUGUUGGGCCUUCAAGGAGCAAAUCGAAAAGCGAAGUUUGGCCCACAUCUUUUCUGCAGACAUAUAGCCUGGUUCAGAUGAGCUGUACAGGAAUAUUGACAUAAAAAGGCCCAGUCACGAGCCAUAAUGUGAAUAUUGAAUGCAAAGGUGUUCAUUUAUCACAUUUGAGGUUGUGGAAAGAUUGUAUUUUGUGAGGGCGGGGUAUUAGAUUAUUGAGCUGGUCCAAGUAGAUAAUAUUAAAAAUGUGGGCUAAGUGGUCAUCCCCUUUUCAUUCUGCCCGCUACAAACGGUCGGCUGUAAUGUUUUGCCUGAACUGCUGACGCAUCAACAAAACAAAUCUCACACCAGCAUUUUGGCAUCUUUUUGUGCAAUUGGAAACUAAAGGUUUGUCUUUUGUUCAGUGAGAGGCCCCUGUGAUCAGUACUUCUUAAAUAUUCUACCUGCCAGAAAAUUUAUCUUAUUCAAGAAAUUGGAGGAUGUAUGUUAUAUGCUACUGAAGAGUGCUGAUCAUCCGCCAAUUAUUGCAUCACCUUUGAGUAAACGAAACGAAAAAGAUAUGUUAAACAGCAUAUUUAUACAAUCAAACAGCUCUAAAUUAAUGUCUAUAAUUUGUCUUAGAAUGUUUUAAAAUAAUUUGUUUUUCGAUCGUUUAAGGUAUCAUAUUGGUUGUUCUUCAUUCAGACGGCCUCGCCCCCGUCGAGUUUUGAGUUUUCUAUCAAUAACUUUUGUUGCGUUCAAAUUAUGUUAUCGAAUGGUAUCUUGAUCGUAUUGCCGCCCCUAAUCGAGGAUAUGAUCCCACCUCCACUCCAUGUCAAACUCAAUUCAAAAAUCCUAAUUUCUCCAUCUCAGCAUUGAAGAAACUGACCGACCGUCUCUAGAGCAAGUGGCAAAUGGCUUGGAGGUUGCUAUUCGAGACCCAAGUUCGAAUCCUAGUUGAUUCACAUUUCUAACCAAGUUUAUUUCUAAAUAAAAUAAACGAAACGGGUAGCGUGUUAUCUACCUCUUAAAAGAAAAAGUAUUGAAGAAACUGGCGACCAUAAAUUUUUGUCCUUGAAAGGUGGUUAAAUUUGCAAACCAACUAAUCGCCCAUUUUGGGGGACCCUUCGUUUGGAAUGUUUGGUUGUGUACUUGUCCCCCUAGUCCAUGUUCCCUUGCUACGAGGCCAAAUGGAUUCAGGAGAAAAUUUGGCACCGGCAUGAGCUACCGGUCAACCAAUAUCGCGGACCCAAAUCAUGCCCAAUUUGCACCACUAGCUAGGAGCCAAUUUCGAUUCUGGUUAAGUCUAACCUCCCGGUCAUUGUUAGAACAUUUAUUUCGUGACACCAUUCCUCACGUGCAUGUCACAUGGUAUAAAUACGCAAAUCGACCCUCUCGUUUCUUUCGAUCUCGAUCCCUCCGAUGACAUAAAACGUACGCACGCAACCAUGUUGCUCUUUGAAAGGUUCAUCAAGUUCUUAAAAGCAGCGGAAUGUUGAUCGCGGAUCGAAGCUUGGAGUCGUCGUUAAGGUCAGCCUUAUUAGCUAGGAUUAAUUGCAUAUUAUAGUAUGAUGAUCAUGAUGAUUAUUGUUUUAUUUGAUUGCGAUUAGUUGCAUGUGUUAGCUUUAGAGUGUUGGUGUUGUCGAUUAUUAUGCUGUUACAAAAGUGUUUGUGUGCAAUACAUUUCACUGGGAUAUGAUAAGAUGACAUUAGCCCAAUAGUGUGUAUAUAUAUAUAUAUAUAUAUAUAGGUGAGAGAGAGAGCAAGUAAAGAGAAUUUCUUUGCUAUGAAAGCUUCAUUAAGCUUUGGCUUAGUUUGGUUUCUUGUAUUUGUCUUAGCUUAAUUUAUUGUUUUCUUUCUCAUAUAUGAAUUAUAUGAUGGUAUAUAAAUUAUAUGGUCUUCUCUCUAUGCAAAAACAAAAGCACAUAUACUUCUAGCUUCGACUUAUGGGAUGUAUUACUAACUAGAAAUUAUAUGAUCUUCUCUCUAUGCAAUAACAAAAGCACAUAUCUAGCUUCGUCAUGUGGGAUGUAUUAAUUACUAACUAGAAAUGCCACAAGGUGGAGUUAUUUUGUUACUCCAUCAAUGUCUUAGAAUUUUUCUUUAAUUAACUUUUGCACGGUCCACUUAAUGCUAAUUAAGUUGCAAUUCAUGGACCUGUCUUGUUCUAAUGAACUUAAUACGGACCCGAAAUGUUGGGUCAUGCAACUUGUAUAAGCUGAUGAAGAAGCUCCACAGCUUUUUACGAGCUAAGUCGACCAUGUUUAGUUCUUCGACAAAAAUUUGUUUGGGCUCGUUCGUGCUCCAAAUUUGUUUGAUCAUUUUCCUCCUCUUAUUUAUCCCGUUAUUAAAUAAAAAGUUUUGUGGAAAAACUGUUCUGAGAGGAAACAACAAGUAGCGUAUACGAAGGCUAUAAAUUUAUAGAAAAUGUUGGUAUGAAGUGAUUUUCUUGUAGUGUUCUCAUCCGAAAAGUCAAUGUGGGACCUGUGAUUCCACUUGGUGAUACCAAUCUAUAUAUAUACAUUUGGAAGCUAUAUAUAUUUUCUUUUUUAAUCAUGUUUUACGCAGUUCGUAGUUUAAACUCUUUAUUAGGUAAAUAUAUCUUCAACAAACUUUACAUACUUGUGAAACCUUGAUUUUAUACAACGUGGAGCAAUCGAAGUCGCAUGAUUAUGACCUGACCUGUCCCGCCAAUAAUCCCAUUUAAGGCACAAGUGUGUGUGUGUAUAUAUAUAUAUAUAUAUAGUCAGGCUAUGGUGUUUAUAAAAGUACCAAGUAGUUGGUGCUUAUAAAUUUUUUACCAUUAGGUCUACACCUUUGAUCAUUCCUACCCGUUGAUCAUACUAUUCAACCAACUACCAACUCAAUCCUAAGAGAUCACUAUCAUCCUAACAGCACAUCUCUUAACCCAAGAGCUAAAAACUUACAAGCACUAAUGACUUACUACUUUUACAAGCAUAGGAGUUCAAUUUUAUAUAUAUAUAUAUAUAUAUAUAUAUAUAUAUAUAAGCACAUCUCUUAACCCAAGGGCUAAAAACUUACAAGCACUAAUGACUUGCUACUUUUACAAGUAUAGGAGUUCAAUUUUAUAUAUAGAUAUAUAUAGAGAGAGAGAGAGAGAGAGAGAGAGUCCGGCUGGGAUACUAUAUAUCGAUAGCACGAAGCAUUUGGUGCUAUCAAAUUUUUUGCCAUUAGAUUUACCUUUUUUAUCAUUUUCAUCUCUUCGAUUAUACUAUUCAACUAAUUAUAACCACCCACUCAACCCUAGGGGACCCACAUCAUCCUAAGCGCACAUUUUUUAAUCCAAGGGCAGAAAACUUAAUAGCACCAAUAACAGCAUAUAUAUAUAUAUAUAUAUAUAUUCAUUUUUAGACUACUCGUUUGAUAGGUAAAUGAUGCCGAAAAAUUAUGAAAUUUAGUUUUCAAAUAGUUUCAAUAGUGUAGAUCAAGUCUAACAGANNNNNNNNNNNNNNNNNNNNCUUUUAAGAUAAGUGAUGUAUCUAUUUCUAGUUAUUGAGGCUAGAACUUAACUUCUUAGGCUAGUAGGAAAAAAUCCCGCAGCAAGCUAAAACUGGCAAGUAAAAUACGGGUGAACUACCUGAAAUAAUACUAAAGCCUUUAAAUGUUUUAAAUAAAAGAUCUUCAAAGUUUAUGAGAUCUAGUACAAAUUGCCUCACCUAGCAACUAAGCCUUCGAGGUAAUAGCUUUUAAGUUGAAUACUCAGGCUAACGAAAAUAUGACAAUUUGAUCAUAUCAUAAGGUAUGGCCGGAAAUAUAUAUACAGAUAAACACUGGAAAACGAGCAUACCAAAAUACUACAUGGUUCAAUAACCACGAACAUCCAAAAAGCCGUAAACCUAAUUCCCUAUACGCCAAUCCUACUAUCACCACAGGGAUCCCAACUAACCCACCAACCAACUCAUCAUACUAGAUUACCAACUUUUACUAGGCUCAUCCACCUUUACUAGAUUCGCCAUUUAGAUUGUCGUUUUUUGAACAUUCGUGCUCCACGAACCACGAAAACGAUCGUAGCAUCGACCUGAGAGAGAGAGAGAGAGAGAGAGAGAGAGAGAGAGAGAGAGAGAGAGACACACGUAUAUAUAUAAUGAAUCUAAACGUUUAAAUAUUUGAUUUAGUAUUUUGACCCUAACACGGUUCCUGAUAGCUGUUAUUAUCGUAUUUAAUGUGGACGAUUUGAAUAAAACUAAAAAUAUUCUAGUGAGACAGUUUAAAACAAAUUAACAGAAUUGAUUCAUGACUAGGUUCACGGUUAAAUUAACGGUAUGGUAAUGGUCUCAUGUUCUCAACAACCAUACUAAUUGACCACACAAUAAUAAAUUUAAUCAACGACUGCGUUUUCCUUGGAACUCUAAGAGAUUUUCUUCUUAGUUUGAAAAGGUAAUUUUUGUUUUUGAAAACGUGUUUUUUGUCUUCAUGUAAAAGUGCUAGUAAUUAUGACAUCCGGGUGUUUAGGUGAGAUCGAUCCUGCGACGUACUCACUAGUAUAAUUGUUUCAAUAAACAUGAGAACGGUUUAUUGUAUGUUUUUAGAAUCGGUUUAAGUUUGUGAUUUAAUACUGGUUUAAAUUAGAUAAAAAACCUCUACUUUUAUUAUUAGAGUACGAAUGCGAAGUCGGUGUAACUAGUUUAGUGCACCCUUACAAUCAACCGUGCAGUACCUCGUGGUGCCUGUUGCAACCUUUGAAGAAGCGUGUCGAUUUUAUCAAAAAUUCAACAAAUUCCGAUUCUUUUACACCGUUAAACUAGCAAGUAUUCCAUACCGGCCUUUAAAAAUUGUCAAUUUGUGACCUUUUGAUCGUAAGGUAAAUGAUGUCCAAAAAUUAGGUUUUUCGGCAUUUGGAUGAAGGGAUAUGCGGUUAAGAUGAUAGUGGUGUCCUAGAAUUGAUUGAGUGGUAGGUCGAGUAGUAUGAUCUAACGGAUGAAAAUAAUCAAAGUAGGUGGAAAUGAUCAAAGCGAUAAAUCUAACAGCAAAAAACUUGUAGCACGAGGUGCUUGGUGCUAUUGCUAGCAUAGUAGCUGAACUCUCUCUCUCUCUCUCUCUCUCUCUCUCUCUCUCUCUCUCUCUCUCUGUGUGCAUAUAUAUAUUACUUAGAUUUGCAAAUUUAUAAACUAAAUCAUAAAACUGGGAUUGUGCCAAGGACUAUCGACAAUAAUAGCAUAAAUUACACCUGCUAAACUUAUUUUGAUUUUUAUAAGAUCACUCUGUCAAAUUUUGUUUAAUUGUCUUAACUAAGUACUGAUCCAAGUGCCAAUUUAAUUGCCAUACCAUUACCAGAGUACAAGAGUUGUUGGUAUGAUUAACUGGUGUGUUAUUAUUUAAAUUAGUUGCUGACGCAAAAGGAACCUUGAGAUUCUCUAAAAGAAGAAUCAAACUUUUCCAUUAAAAACAAAAACUUUUGCACAAAAAACAGAAGUACAUUUUCACGAUCAUUAAUACUGUAGGCCCACAAAUCCACUCUAGCUAGGACGCUGCAUGAGUGAUCAUAUUAACAAAGUUAUUUGUACUCUUGCCAAAUAACAUACAAAAAUCUUAGCCAAAUUCAAACACUAAAUUAUGACCAAAUUUAAUCUAUUUUUUGGAGAUGAAAAUAAUAAUCUCAUGCUUACGCUUCAGCCACAUUGAUCAAAUCACGUGGGAAUGUUAGUUGGCACGUCAUGGAGCACCACGGACAACGUUGGAAACUUCUUCGCACAGCUAAAAUCCUAUUUUAAAAUAUUACUUACUCUAACAAGAUAAAGCAAAAAAAAAGCAAGUUAAAUUGAACAUAUUCUUAUAGAUCUGUAGAAUUAGUUAUUUGUCUUUAUUGUAUAUAUAUAUAUAUCUUUUUCCAAUUUGAGGACACAGACAUUUUCACAACUCAUCCUAUUACGUUGAUAUUCAUCUUGCUAGCCAGCUAUACAAUGGUCUCAACCUCCGGUCCAAGUCCUAAACUACCAGUCUCUUCAUUCAAUUCACACAGCAAAUGUACAUAACGUAAAAUGUGGGAGGGGUCCCCGUACAUGAUUAAUUUGGAUUGUAUAUAACUAGGUCCAAAUUGACACGACCAUAUCGUCGCAACUAUUACCUAGGGGUUAUGUCAUUAACAGUAGUUCAAGAUACUAUGUCUCUAUUGCUGAAUAUAAAAUAUUAAAAUAUUAUUUUUUGGCAGUUUUAAAUUAUAGAGAUAAAUGCUGGUUUUAUAUUGUAGGAAUUAUCACGCCUUGGGGCCUAAUUAAUAGAAGUCUUUGUGUAAAACAGUGCCAUUUUAUAAAUUAGAGUUGCGAAAUAUUUUUUUUUUUUGAAACAACCUACCUCACGUGAUGUACAGAUCCGUCAUAAAUACAAAUUUAUCUACUCAAACGAACAUAAUUUUUUUUAUAUUUGCCCGGCAUACCGAUCAAUAACAUCAAAAAUCCAUCGACGGUACUCAAUUCCCUUAGGUCCAAAACUUAACCUUCCGUCUAGGCCAAAAGAUUUAAGGCUGCCACUACUAAUUAAGCUCGACAAUUUAGCCUGCUAAAUCGACUGUUUGGAUACAAUCAAAUUGAGAUAAACUUCAUGCAUAUCCGUCACUAGAUGAGCAGGAUUGCCAAUGGCAACACGCAGUUAUAUCAACCAGUGAUACCCAACAUUUGUCUGUACGAGAUCCUAUCGCUAGUUCAUGAGUUCUAAUCAUACCAAACUUUACUCUUUGUACAGCCAGCAAAGCGCCUAGGGAAUAUCAUUUUAAUAUCGUUGUAAAAUGCGCCAAUUGUUCCUAACGUAAGUGGCUAAGGAUUUGGUAGUUAAUAUAUGAGGUCCUAAGUUCGAAGUUUAAUUGUUUUAUAUUUCAAGCUAAGUUUAUUUCUAAAAAAUAUGAAUAAAGCGAGAAACAUGAUAUCAUUCUCUCGGAAAAACAAAUCCUUGCAAUAUGUGCCUAUGUAUCCAUUUUCCAAUGAAAUUGAUUACUGUUUACUCAAAGGACAAUCACACCCUCCUGAAUGUAUUUCCUCUAAAUUUUUUUAGUGUCAUUUUCCCUCUCCACAAUAUAUAGUUUAGCAUUCAGGAGAUAUUAGUAGGGCUAGGAAUUAAGUUUUUUGGGUUUAGAGUUGCAAGGAUGUAGAGGAUUUUCGAACAGGAAAUUAAUGUAUAAUAAAAUUGAAUUUGCAUAUGUAAUUUGAUAAUUCACAAGGAGGCAAUUUCUUUGAGAAAGAGAUGGAAAGAGAGCGAAAGGAAAGAGAAAAGUCACCUCCAACCAUGUAAGCUUAUGAUUGGAAAUUUAUUGUUAGGUUUGAGAACUCUUUGAUGAGGCUGAUACACAUAUUUUGGAUAAUUACCUAUAUACCUUUCAAAACUUUAGAAAUAAUUUAUUACCUAUAUGUUCCUUCGUUAUUCUCAAAUACCCUUACAGUUAUCAAUGUUAAGUUAACUUGAGUUAAAUGUGAGUUACAUAUCUACCAUAGUUAAAAAAAUAAAAAUACCAUUUUUGUCCUUAACUUAAACUUAAGGGCAAAUAAGAAAUAUUGGUGAUGGUAGAAGGGUAUAUUUGAAAAGAUCAAAAAGCAAAAUAAUUCUUGUACCCCUAAUUUAAGGGCAAAUAAGAAAAGUCGGUGCUGGUAGAAUGAUAUAUUUGAAAAGACAAAAUAGUAAUUUCAUAGAGAUAACAGAGUUCAUUAACAAAUUUUAACUCUAGAGAUAUGUUUGAAAUAAGUUGGAUCGUAAAAAAAAUAAUUUCAAUAUUAGUCUUCUAAGAGGGAUAAAUCAGAAAUUCGAGGACUUUUCAGGGGUAUAAAAGCAAUUGCCCUUUUUCUGUGUUAUUAAAUAUUUGCAAGUCUUACCUAUUGUAUAGCUUGUUUCAAAAGCAAACUUACAUUUUACACACCCUCUAAUCCCUCUAAUUAAGCCCCUUAACCCCUCGAGAUAUUUUGUAUCAUUCCUGACUCAAAAUAGGGCACUCGGCCUUAAUACUCACCUAAGCUUAUUGUGCACUUAAUUCCUUUCCUGUUUUAUAUGCUACACUUAAUAAUUUAUAUGCGUGCUAGCUAUAUAUAUCUAUUGAAAACCAUGCAUUUUGCUAUGGACAACUGUGCCUUUUGCAUUUGAAAGUUGUGAAUCUUGCUAAUGCAGCUCUUUUAUUCACCAUUCAAUAAAUUAUGCUUAGUUUUAUGCUAAUUUCUCCAAAAAGAAAAGAAAAGAAAUGAAAAGCUUCUACGUACAGUAUCUUCUAAAUUACAUGUUUUUGCGAUAGUUGCUGACUUUUUCAAAUAGAUACACAUACAUGCUAAUGUGAUCUCUCGAAAUUAAACACGUUUUCAUAAUUACAUGCAUAAAACUAGUAUAAUGUUGAUUUUGAAGCAAGAUGAGGAACAUAUGCAUGCCUUCCAAACACAUUUGAGAAAGAAGGAAAGGUGAAACUGACAGAAGAUGCAUGUAAUCUGUGAAAAAUCUUUGGUCGUUCAUAAAGUAACCAACUGAUUAUAUCUAAAUUUGUUCCUUAGGGAUUAAGUAAAACAUAGUUACAUCUACCACGCACAUAAUAGAUGAUAUUCUUUGUAAUACUUCAAACUAAUAUUUGAUGUUCAGUUUCUUUUGAAUGCAAAACCAAGAUGAACUUGGCAUGAAAUCACGCAACCAUGUUAGUUGCAGGCAAAAGCUUCCUCUUGCUGGUUAUUAUUGUAAUUUUCUAUGCUCUAACAAACCCAAAUGGCUAGGACCAAAAAAAAAAUUUUUGUUUUUUUUUUGAGAGAAAGGUAGCAUGCUACCCGCUUCGUUUAUUUCUUUUAGAAAUAAACUUAGCUGGAAAUGUGAAUCAACUAGAAUUUGAACUUGGGUCUUGGGUAUCAAUCACCAAACCUUUUUGUCACUUACGCUAGGGACGGCCAGUACCAAAAAAUAAAAAUUACUCAUAGAAAAUGGUCGAUUAUUUGUUAUAUCAAUGCCUAAUCUUUUUGAAACUUAAUAUCAGUACAUAACCAUAAAGUUCAACUCGAUCAUUCUUACCUUCUAAUUUCAGUGUCAUUUUCUUCAAAAGUGUAGGUUAAUAAACAAGAGAAAUUAAAGUGCACGCUACACAUCGUUUGUUAGAUUACAACACAAAUGAUAUACUCAAAAUUAGAAUUCUCAUAACUUCAAUUUGGAGCUCUUCAAUGAUUUACUCAUGCAUCCAAUAAUUAAUGCUAUCAAGGAAGUGGUUUCUACAGUACAGGCAUCUUCUAAGGUUGGAAAGCUUCUUGGUUUCACUCCAAAAUAUACACUAAUAAUCUACAGUAUUAAUGUCUGAAUCGACAUGCAACCAUGAGCAAUAUAUAGUAUAAAAGGUUAUCAUGCUUCAAAUUUGUGUUGUUUGUAGGUCACAUUGCUUGAACAUAAGUAUAUGUUCUUCACGCAAACUAGAAAUCAUAAGUUACAAACUAACAAGAAUACAUGUAUUUGCAAUACCAAAGCUGUAUGUUUUUUUAUAAAACAACAGAUAGAGUUUUCCUUAGUCGAUGUAAACAAUUAGAAUCGCUUAAUUUCCUGCAUGGUUAAUAAACUGCCCGUGCAAGUUUUCAAACAUACUUACUUGGGAUGAUAUGGUGCCUUCCCACAAGGAGCCAAAUACAAAACCCGAAUCCAUUGCCGCAAUCUGAUCAUUACUCUUAUCACUAUUCUCAUUGUUAUCACCAUUGCUUUCUAUAAUAUUCUGGUGCUGGUGCUGCUGUAGGAAGAUGUCAUCGUUGAUCAGCGAAUCGAAGAAGGAUGAGAAGACGUCGUCUUCUUGUUCGAGAUUCACCCCGUGGAGCAAGUAAUUGCCGUGGUCGUGAUCGCGAAGGACUUCACCGGGAGCAGGACUAGGGUUUGGUUCAGGGUUGGGGUUAUUGGUGGGGUUAUUAGGGUUAGGGUUAGGGUUAAGGUCAUAAGGAAGGGUUGCAGGUGGAGGAUGGAGACCAUGGCUUGUGAGAGAGGGUAGUGGAUUGUUACUAUGGUUGGGACGAUGGUUGCUGGACACCAAGGGCUUGUGCGUCCGCGGAUCGAUGCCUUGGCUGAUGAGCUUCUUGCUGAGGUGCGUGUUCCAGUAGUUCUUGAUCUCGUUAUCUGUACGUCCGGGUAUCCUUCCAGCUAUCAAAGACCACCUGCAGGAGAAACCAAAGACAGUUCCGACAUUAAUUUGCCAGUCUAGCUAUAAUAAUCGGGCAAUUCAAUCGACAUGUGAUACAUCAGCAUGCAUGCCAGUACAUCCGCAGCUAUAUCUAUGAUAAAAGUAAAGUGUGUGUGUGUGUCUGAGAAAGAGAGAGAAGGGGACCGACCGGUUACCGAGGAGGCGGUGGAGGCGGAGGAUGAGGUCCUCCUCGUCGGGGGCGAUGGGGCCGCGCUUGAUGGAGGGGCGCAGGUAAUUCAUCCAGCGGAGGCGGCAGCUCUUGCCGCAGCGGAGGAGGCCGGCGCGCUUGGGCAGCGUGCGCCAGCGCCCCUCCCCCUCCCGCCGCACAUAGCUAGAUAGCACCUCGUCCUCCUCCGCCGUCCACGGGCCCCUCUUCACCCCCAUCUUGCUGCAGCACGGCGUCGCCCCACGCCCUCCCACUCCGCCGCGCCCCCGCGACGGCAACGACGACGACGACGCACCCACCGGGUUCUUCAUUUCUUCCUUUCUAUCACUCUCUCUCUCUCUCUCUUUCUCUCUCUUUGUUUCUAUGCGUCCCUCCUGAUCUCUACGGAUGUGGAAUUAGGGUUUGGUGUGCGUGAAUUUUUUUUCAUUUUUCAUUUUAUUUUAUUUGUAUUUAUUUUUGCUUUGUAGGGAAGGUGUUGUUGAGCGGUGACGUAGGUGGUUGGAGUCCUAGAUGUCGAUCUAGGGGGAAUUUGGAGCCGACCAUGCUGACGUGGGUGGGCGCGGGGGUGAUAGCGACGUCAGGUGAUGCAUAGAGAUUUCUAUGCGCGUUUUUGAUCCAGCCGUUCGUUUUUCUGCCUUGUCCCAGAUCUUCGGUGAGUUACUACUAGUAGUAGUAGGAGCCAUGCCUACGUUUUUUUUAGACAUUUACCCUCACAUUAGUCAAUUUAUUACAUCGAAUGCCACGGAAAAAACGGAGCCGCCUCGCACGGAGCGGACGAGGGGUACACGCGAUCCACCUUCCUUAUAUAGCCUGCACUAUAAUCACAGCCGUCCAUAUAGGCGGCGAUGCAUAGCCUGAGAUUUUCUUUCCCCUGCGCUUGCUGCACCACGUCAGCACUGUGGACCACUAGUGAAUGGAGCCCUUCGUCCUAUUUGGUUAAAAAAAAAAACACUUAUGGUACAGUAUGAAAUUAAUUAACAUUAUUAUUACGUAAUUUUCAUUUUCUUAAACUAGAUAAUUUUUAUUAAGCAAAUAAAAGCUUUUUAUAAAAUUUAACUGUAGUUAUUAUAAAUUACUGAACACUUUUUAGCUGAUGGAACUAUAAACUUCAUUAAUAGUUAACCAUUGAUAGCUCAUGGAGCCCAUUAAUUUUUACAAAUUGUUAUCAAAUAAAAACAAUAAAAUGUUAGAAAGCAUCAGUUUACCUUAACCCCUAAAAAAAAAAAGAAACCAAAGAUCUAUUUUAAGAUGGUCUCAUGGUCUUCAUACAAUUUUUAAUUUCCAUCCAAUAAUUUACAAACUAUUACAAGCAAGUAGUGAAUUUGUCUGCUAUUAGUAGACAUAGCCAAUAGAAUCAGAGAAAACAAAAAAUCAAAGAUCAUCACCGUUUACAGCAGUUGGUUAAUUAAUAAUCUUCAAUUCAAAUUAGAAGUUCUAGGUUCUGAUUUUGGGUGCAAACUCAAAGAUAUGAAUUGAGGGUUGGUAUUGUUCAAUCAACUACUCUAAAAAGUGGUUAUUUUAAUUUUUCCUCUUUUAUUUUGGCCUAAAUUAAUUCUAUUGUCGCGUUCCAUUGUAAAUGAACUAGCACGAUGAUGGCCUAUACUAAGCUUCUCCACUCUGGGCCAUUGUGGGCUUUUCCCAAUGGGCUGUGGUUCUGACUAGCCCCAAAUUAGAAUGCUAAUGAAACCAGUGCGAAGACACAGCAGAGUCAAAAAAAUCAUUGGGUUCAGAUUGAUCCAAUGAAUAAUGCGAACACAUAAGAUGUAGCACAGUCAAAAUAUGCUGAGAUGCCAUUAAAGAACCACUGCUGCAGAUUCGCAAGCGAUUGAAACUUUGUUACUGUAAAUAAUCCGAUCGCUGACGUAUCACCACUGCCAUAGAUCGAAUAACCGCAGCAGCUUCUGUAACAGCUUGUACUCAACAUAAAUUUGUAACAGCAUUGUGGACAAGCUAGUUCUAUACAGGAUAUUGUUAUAAACUAAUCUUCAUAUAGUGUGACCUACCUCAUUUGGUUACUCAUUUAGAUGUAGGUAAAUACAAUACAUGGGCUAUCACACUCGGAUUCCAGACUCUAGGGCUUUGGUAGGAGCAAAAUAUGCAAAAAGCUUUUGCACUGUCGAAUAGACUAUCGAUUGAACUUCUACACAUAGUUAUUACAGUAUGCUGUAUAAAAUUUUAGGCAACAAUUUAAAACUCUUUAAACAAUUAACUCAGUUCAAACGGCACUUCUGUAAAAACUCCUGACGGACCUAAACGAUGCAACAAUGAGCAGUGAGCACCCUCGGCUAAUGGCAAGCAGAUUUAGUAAUCCACAUUGUUAGUAAGGUUCCAACACAUGAUUUUAUUUGGUUAUAUAUGAAGCAGCUUUUCCUUACUAGGAUAAAAUAGCCUAAUCCCUUAAUUAAUAUGGCUAGGCUGUUCUCUUCUGUACUAAUCUUUCUUUUAGUACUAUGUAUAUAUGUAGUUUAUUAAAGUGCCUUUGCAAAUUAACAGUUGAAAGCUUGCUAGAACAAAGGACAUUCUAAGCAUAAUUCCUUCUUAUAAAUGAAUUAUUUUCAGAAAAAGUGCAAGAAACUGGCCUGAAGGGAAAUGAUAUAUAUAUUUUUUCAAUGUAGUGCUGUUGGCUUGGAGGAAAUGAUAUUUUAUUUUAAUCUAGUGCCUGCUUGGUGUAGAAUAGCUUUUUCUAUUCUUAAAUACAUCAAUCAGAACAAAGAGUAAGUUAUCCAAAAUAAGUUAGAUAAAGUGCAGUAUAUAUAGAGAUAAUCACUCAUGCCACUUACACUAACAAGAUUGAACAGAUAAGAAUAUAUGUAAUAGAAUGGUGGACUUGGUUACCGAAGUUAGAAACUCUUGGAGUUGAGAGGGCAUAGAGCCGUCUCUGAAAUCAUUUAUUUCAACUCGUGUCUUCAAAGAAUUCUAAGAUCCCAUGUAAGGAGUGUUAAAUACAAAUGAUUAAAAUAUCGUGCCUCUAUCAGAUCAAGCUUUCAAACACAAACAUUUACUUCAUAAAUGUGGUGUUAGAGAGAAGAUGUGGAGUCCAAAUCUUAUCCAACUUUUGGUCUAUCGUUCUCUGACGACUUAAUUUUUUAUACAGACUUUCAUUUUUAAUAUAUAUAUAUAUAUAUAUAUAUAUAUAUAUAUAUAUAUAUAUAGACUAAUAUGCUUUUGAAAAUACGGAGGCUUUUAUGCUUGUAAGUUGUUUUCGAUUUUCGAUGAUGGGACAUCCGAUUUAGCGAUCGGUUUUCUGGGACAUGAUCUACAGUAUUAGAACUAUCUAAAAUCAAAUUUCAUAAUUUUUUGAUUUUGUUUGCCUAGUGAAUGAGUAGCCCAAAAUACAUUACUGAAAAUAAAAAUUACAUANAGUGAGGCUACUAUGCUAUCGGAAGCACGGAGCCUUCCGUGCUUCCAGCUCGUUUUCGAUGUUGCGACUUUCGAAUCGUCGAUCGGCUCCGUUAAACUUGAUCUAGAGUAUUUGGAGUACCUAGAAAAUAAAUUUUAUUAUUUUUCGAUAUCAUUUGCCUAGUGAUCGAAUGGGUUCAAAAUCAACAAAUUUCAAUGGUCGUAGUGAGCCGUUUGCAAGUUUAACGGUGUAGAAAUAUUCAAAUCACGUGAAAUUUUGAUAGAAAAUUCUUUAUACUAUAUAAAAUAAGAUCAAUAUCUUUGAUUUAAAAUUUUAAUGUCAUAUUAUUACAUUUUGUAAGAUUUUUAUUUUCAGCCGUUGAUUUUGAGCCCCUUCGUUCACUAGGCAAAUGAUAUCGUAAAAUCAUAAAAUUUAUUUUCUAGAUACUUCAAAUACUCUAGAUCAAGUUUAACGGAGCCGAUCGACAAUUCGAAAGUCGCAACAUCGAAAACAAGCUGGAAGCACGAAAGGCUCCGUGCUUCCGAUAGCAUAUAUAGUAGCCUCACUCAUAUAUGUAUGUAUAUAUAUAUAUGUAUAUCAUCUUUGAAUGGAAGGCGGAGAGAGACCACCAAACAAACUGCCCUUCCACUGCAUGUGGAUACGAUAUUAAAGCAGUAAAAGGGAUUCCAUUCAUUCGUCCACCAAAGAUUAUAAAUAUCAAUUUUUACAUAAAGAAACUAAAAAGAAAUGUGCAUGUCCCUUUCCACCAAUAACCUUGUAGCUCACUUUUCAUGUUUGCAUGGCUAGCUGGCUUUAAUAUUCGGAUUUUUUUUUUAUAUGUAUCAUACAUAAUUUAUUGCUCCUACUUUUGUCAAAAUGUUCAAUGCAUCAUAAUUACAAGGGAAGUUCGUGUUGUAUUAUAUUAUCCCAAAAAAUUAAAGAAAAAAGGGUGGUCCAUGUUUAACAAUAAGAGUAAAACUUAGUUGAAUACGCGGAUUUAAACUCGAAAGCUUGGACUUGGAGAAAGCUAAAUAAGGUGAGUAAGCUACUUCGGUCAAAAGAUUUCUCACUUCAACUUCUAAGUUGAUCUCUUCAAAAGGUGGUCAAAGUAUUAUUAAUCUAAUUUUAGAUUUUAUAUCUUAUACAUUUCCCAUUUGUUUGUAUAUUAUUACUGUACUAUUUUAAAAUCUUUGAUCUAGUCGUUGCUCUUGUUUUAAAAUAAUAAUAAUAAUAAUAAUCACAUCUGGAGAAAAAUUAAAUAAAUAUUUUACAGUUUAAAAAGUAUAGGUAAUUAAAAUCUACUAAUUAUUCAAACUACUAAAAUAUUUAAUGGUGGUAAUGUUUGUAUAGCUUCGUCUACAUGCAUCUGGUAUAAGCUUUUUCGAUCUUUUCCUAGUAAGUUAUAUAUUACUUACAUAUGUAUAAUAUAUAUAUAUAGAGUAGAGCUACUAUACUAUCAGAAGCAUAGAAGAUCUAGUGUUUCCGAUUUUUAGGCCUUUAGAUCAAUUCCUUUAAUUAUUUCUAACCUUUGAAUUAAUUCUAUUAACCUGUGGGGACCACUCAACCCUUGGGAUACCACUCAACCCUGGGGGGAUCGCAAUCAUCCCAACUGUAUAAUUUUUGAUCCAAUGGUCAAAAAGUUGAAAGCAUCAGAUCCUCUAUACUUCCGAUAGCAUAGUAGCUCUACAAUAUAUAUAUAUAGUCCGGCGGCUACUAUACUAUUAUGAGUAUGAUCGCCCUCAUACUCAUAAGUUGUUUUUGAUGAUAGAGCUUCCGAAUCGACGAUCCACACCGUUAAACGUUAUCUAGAGCAUUUGAAACAUCUAGAAAUCAAAUUUCAUAAUUUUUUACAUCAUUUACCUUACGAUCAAAAGCUCACAAAAUUGACAAUUUUUAACGGCCAGUAUGGAAUACUUGCUAGUUUAACGGUGCAAAAGAAUCCGAAUAGGUUGAAUUUUUGAUAGAAAAUUCUAUUCACUACCUAGAUAAAGAUCAAUAACUCCGAUCUUAAAUUGAAGGAUCCGAUCAUCCAUUUUUAAGACAUAGUUCGAUUUUGACCGCUCAUUUUAUGCCCGCUUGAUAGACUUUAUUAUGAUUUCGAAAAAUUACAAAAUUUAUUUUCUAGAAGUUUCAAAUACUCUAGAUCAUGUUUAACGAAGUGGAUUGUCGAUUCGGAAGCUCCAUCAUCGAAAACAACUUAUGAGUACGAAGGGUCCAAUACUCAUAAUAGUAUUGUAGCCCUACUCUAUAUAUAUAUAUAUAUGUAGUGCAAAAAUAAUAAAUAUAAAUUUAAGGUUAUUUGAAAAGAAAGGACUGAAGCAUAAAUAUGUGUAAAAUAUUCUUCCAAUGAAACAGGCCGUGAAGUUCCUUGAAGCUUAGGGUGUGUUUGGUUCCACGUAAAAUUGGAAAAAAAAAAUUUCUGCGGAAAAAAAAUUUUCGUGAAAAAUUUAUUUUACGGUUUUCAGUAUUUAGUUUUGUAGGAAAAGAAAAUUAGUUUACAGUUACAGUUGUUUGGUUAAAUAGUUGAAAGAAAAAGGUAUAAAUUAUUUUUUAUUAUAUAUUCGAUAUAUUAUUUAUUUAUUAUUUAUGAAUUAAAUAUAUGAUAGAUUUAUAAGUAUUUAAUAUAAUAUAUGUAAUAAUCUGCAUAUAAUAUUAUAUAAAAAUAUAUAAUUUUUAUAAAUAAAAAUAUAAAAUUAGCUUUUCUUUACUGUUGUUGUUUGGUUGAAAGAAAAAAAAUUAUAAAUAAAAAAUUAUUAUAUAUAUUUUUUCUUAUUGUAUAUAUUAUCAUACUUAUCAUAUAUAUAAUAAUUAUUGAUGUAUAAUAAUUAUCAUAUUACAUAUAUUAGUAUUAUAAUUAUAUUUAUAAAAAAUAUAUCUAAAAUAUAUAUACAUUAAUUAAUAAUGAAUAUAAUAUAUAAUAGUAUAUAUUUAAUACUAUAAAUAAAUAUUGUAUUUAUAAAUAAUAUAUAUAAAAAAAUAUAUCAAUAAUAUAUUUAAAUAAUAUAUAUAAUAUAUAUAUAUAUUAUAUAUAUAUAUAUAUUAAUUAUAUAUAUAUAAAAUAGAGGGGGAGAGAGUACGUCCACGGUUCUCUCACGCGGUCCACGAGUCACUUCGUGGACCGCGCAUGCUCAAAAGGCCGCGAUUUUGAGAGCUUGUAGUUUUCGUUUUCCGCGGACGGCGAGCACAAAUUUUUCGAAGAAUCUGUAAAAAGUGUUUUUCAAAUUUUUUUUUUACAGAUAACUAAACAUUGGAAAACAAAAUUUCAACAGAAAAAUUUUUUUCGGAGCACUUUUGCAGGGAAUCAAAGAGAACUAUAUUGUUUCAUAUAAACCAAUAAUAUUUUAUAUUUUUGUACUCCGCAUUAAUAUAAUUAUAUGUAUGGUAGUCCCUUUCUAAUAGGAAAUGGGGAAGUAAAAGAUAUAGAGAGAAUAUUUGGACUUCAAAAUAUUCUGAUCCGCUACUUUCAUUGUAUGUAGUCCAUCUUUUCCGAGAGUUAAAAAAGAUGGACUCUCUCUCUCACAAAAAAAAAUAAAAGUCCAUCUUUUUGGUCCCACCAAACAAGUUAAAUAGGAACGAAAAUCAAAGCCCACGUGGCAAUAAAUAGCACAUCAUCCUAUCAAUUAUGUGACGCAUCCCACGAGAUUAACCUUUUUACGGAUAAGGCAUUAAUGCACUUCGAUAUGGCCACGGCAUUUAAGUGCACCAAACAUUUAAAUAGGUUUUUACGAGACAAAUGAAUCAACCUUGGUUUGUUGAUCUUCAAUUUUACAAAUCAAAUAUUUUGAGUUUGCGAAAUCAUUUGCUUCUAAUUGUAGAAGACCCAUGAUAGAGCUUCUUAUGAUGUAUUGCAUAAUUUUAGAAUUCAGAAAAAACCAAACCACAAUGAGUUUAAUUAUCAGGAUUUGAAUUUGUAAUUUCCUUCUUUUGCAUGCUAAAUACUUUUUUUUUUCUAACAUUUUAAUCUGCAAGAGUAUCAUGUUUCGAUACUGUGCUGGAUAAUUAAUGUUUUAUGUAGGAGUCUAGAGGAUUUUUUUAUUUUUUAUUUUUUUUUGGGAACUUACAUAAUAUUGAAAGUUAACUGUAUACUUUAUUUUUUUUUAUGUUGCAUUAAUUGUAUUUUCCAUACACUGAACUGUCUAAUUUGGAAAUAACUUCUUUUUUAAUUACCAUCAAAACGAGAAAUAGUUAGAGAAUUUUUGGUUGAUGGUUUCAACAAUCAAAAGUUUGAAGAGAAUCAAAUUCUUUUUUUAUCAUAAAAAUAUUGGGUUUUUUCACUAUCCAAAUCUUAAUUUCGUGAUAUCUUAACUUUUAAUCAAAUUUAGACCAGUGAAAAAGAAUCCAGUAGCUUAUGAAUUUAGUGUUUAGAAUAAAAUUGUAUCUAAUUAACCUGCCAAUACCUUUAAAUUUAAAUUAAAUAGAAAAAAAAAAUUAAAUACGACUUCUCGUUGGAUUUGAAGUCAGAUUAUAUAAAAUGAUAUUAUGUCUCUAAAAAUUUAUGCUAUCUUUUUCUCAAAAAAAAAAAAUUUAGCUAUCUAUUAGAUAUCACAUCCAAUUUUGGAAGGCUGAAGACUUUUUGGUAAUAUUGAUAAAUAAAUCCAGAGAAUCGACUGAAAAUUUAAUAGAAAUGAUAUUUUUAUGUUUGAAAUAGAUUUUAUUAAUUAAUAUCAUAUCCUUUCUUAGAUAAUAGUUUGGUAAAAGCGUGCGAAGCUUAUCUGAAUCAUGGAUCAUUUUGAGUUGGCUAUCGAAUGUUUUAUUACACGAUAUUUCAAUUUGUUUGAAUUUUGUCGGCUAAUAACAGUUUGACUUUAUACAAAAUGAUCUACCUUUAGAGGUUUCUUAGUAUACUUCAUGCAAUCAUCGCAGCUAUAAAUUUAAAAAAGUAAUUUCACGUUGAACGGCUCAAAACAAAUAAAUUGGAAGGUUAGAAUGUAAAUGUUAAAUAUAAAAAUAUUUAAAUAUCAUUCUUUAUUUGCUUAAGCUUUUAGAGUACAAUCGUUGUUUUGUAUUAUUUUUUCACAUGAUAUCAGAGCAGGAGGUCGUGAGUUCGAGUCAUGCCAAGCUUCUAGCAUUAUUAAUUUUUUCAUAUUUAAUUCAAGUUCACAUUAUGGGGCAAAAGUAUCGAGUCUAGAUAUGAGGGGCAGUGCUAAAUAUAAAAAUAUUUAAAUAUUGUUCUCUAUAAUUAGCUUAGGCUUUUAUAAAACAACGGUUGUAUUAUUUCACAGUAAAAUCAAAAUUUUGAAUAUUGGUUAUUUAAUUUAAAAUAGUUUAUAAUUUUAUGUAAAUUUUAUUUAAUAUUCAGUAAUUUUUGGUACUUAAAUUACUGUAAUUUUGGGCAAAUCUAAGUAAAUUGUACGGAGAUUCCUUUUGGACGGUUGAUUCUUCAUGUCGAAAAGUCAAGGGGUAUUGUUUUGACCGGAGAGUGUGUUAAAUUGUAGUUGACGGUUUCUAUUCACGGGUCGGUCGCUUUCUGGCGAGGAGGACACGUGUCCGUUCCCACUUGUCACGUGUACUUUAUUUAACGCUGCUCAAGCUCAACCCAAAAAACACUCCUCAUAAAAUUAAAAUAAAAUUAUUACAAUUAAACCCCCCCUAAAUUUUUUUUUUUCUUAACCAUCUAAAUCUUUCUCAAACUAUAAGUUAUCCACUAAACUCAGAAAAGAAUAUUACUUCGAGACUUUUUAAUUGAUUCGUACAUCUACUUAAAACAUAUUAUUAUUUAUUUAUAUUUUUGCUUUUAUUAUUAUUAUUAUUUUUUAGAGAUAGGUAACACGCUACCAGCUUCAUUUAUUUCAUUUAAAAAUAAAUUUAACUAGAAACGUAAAUCAACUAGAAUUCAAACUUGGGUCUCGGGUAUCAACCACCAAACCCUUUGCCACUUACUCUAGAAACGGUCAGUAUUUAUUUUUUUGCUAAUACAAUAAUAAGUGUCUAUAAUCAAGUAUAACCAUGCGUGAGUCGUAUUUUCGUCAAAUUCUUCGCUUGAACUUCCGUAUGUUUGUUCGGAGGAUUCAUUUCUAUUAUUUUGACUAGAUUUUUGCUAAUUAUACAUGAAUCAUAUUAAUUUCAACCAGGUGACUUAAAUUAUUUAAUUUGAUAAUUAAUUUUUACAAUAAAUAUCUUGCUAAAUUGACGUAAUACAGAAACUUUAGCUGCUCCAAACGUAUUAUUGCAAACAAUAUGUAUAAACUAAUUAAUAAUAAUAAUCAUCGCAUCACAUCUGCCGCAAAUAAAUAAUAUUUAAAAGCAAUAUUUUUGAGAACAUGUGAUCGUUCUCUUAACAUAAUUAUUUAGAAGAUAAAUUAAAUUGCAAGUUGGGCAAAGUUUAGUAAAGUUUUUUUUUUUUUCUUUUUCUUUUUUAUAUAUUACUCCAACAACCGCAUCAAGCUUUCAAGCAACCAGAGCCGUCCGUUGGAGGUCGGACAAAUAUAACCCUCGUGAGAAAGUCUACAUAUUUACACCGUAUCAUCUAUCUCUAACUAAUAAUUUUUUUCUUUCAAAAGUAAAAUAUAAUAAAAAUAUUUUUUAAUAAUUAUAACGAAAUGAGUGAAUUAAAAAAAAAAUCUAAUAUUUUUUUUAUAGGAUUUUUUCUUACGGACAAUUGCACCCUGCAUGAAAGAAAGAAGGGCAGAACAGUCAUUUCACAGCAUCUACCCCCAUGCACAGGAGGUCGCGGCACGGCUUGCCACGUGGACCGCGUCGCGCGUCCCCCACUCUCUUCCGUGUACGCCCCCCGAGCGUGCUCAUAACUAACGGGCUCCUGCGCGUGCGUCACGUGGAGUGGCGUUCCCGUAAUUUCCCCGCAGAUCCAAACCUUAAACUCCCCCACUUCCGUAUACGCUGCGAUGUAAGUUACCGCGGUUUGCCGUGCAAUGUCGCGGUCAUCUAUCAGGCCACGAACUUCCCCACAAAUUACAGAUAAUGCCACUGGUCUGUUUGCUUGUAACACUCCUGCAACGACGGCCCCCACCACACGGCCUCGGCCGUAAAUACCAAUAAAUAGCCAGUUGGUCGCACUACAUAUUGGAGUUACAAUUAGAGUUAUCGACUAACGAAUAAACAAAAUGGAUAGUAUGCUGCUUUUUUUUAAAAAAUAUAUAUAUUAUGAUUGGAUUUUUAAUUAUUUAAUCUAUAUAAUAAUUCGAUUUGUCGCAGUGUGGGUAUCGGAUGGAUAAGUGGUAUGCGUUUUCGAUCAACAUGAUUGAAUUUUAUAAUUCGAGUUUGUCGGAUAUGAUCGAUCUUAAUUAGAUUUUCUACGCCGGCUUCUAUGGCCGUGUGUUAGUACGUGUAUUCAUUCUUUUGGUUUAAUUUUCUGAUCCGAAUUUUAUUGAUAUAGAUAUAAAAUUUUCUUUGCCAGCAUUAUCACCAAAGUUCUUUUUUUUUUUUUUAGAAAUGUGCAUAAAAAGAAUUCUAAAUAUAUCUAUUAUUGACUUGAAUGCAAGUGGAAUAGUUUACAAACAUAAACGCAGUUGAAAGCUGCAAUAGAGUUAUUGAUAGGUAUUCCGUCUCUACGCAUUUUGUGACUUAGAUUCUCAGUUCCUAUUAUAUUGAAAGUGGACUAUCGUAUGGCAAGGGAAAAAAAAAAGAAAAAUGAAAGAGAAGUGUAAAACAGUAAUUCACAUGCUUCAAUUUGAAGUGUGGGUACAACCGGUGUACAUCUUUGUUACUACAAUAUCCAACGCGGUCUCACCCCGUGCUGGCGUUCACAUUGGACGGUGGUGAUGCGUCGUGAGCGAGGUGGGUUCGCAUGAAGACAGGGAGAGCAUUCAUGCUACCGUCCAAAGGGUAGUAUCGUAAUUACCUGUGAAUGUACGCCCCAAUUCGCAGGGCCUCCCCCUUCUUAAUGCCCAAAGCCACGAAAAAACAUAACAACACAGCGCGCACACACAACACCACCACCUCCUCCUCCGUUUCUCCGAGAUCGAGCGCCUCCCCCACGGCCCAACCCCGCCCCUCUCUCUCUCCCUCUCUCUCUCUCUCUCCCCGCGGGGUCACGCGCGAGGCGCGUGAGGCCGAUCGGGGAGCGGCGGCGGCGGCGGCGAUGACGCGGCGGUGCUCGCACUGCAGCAACAACGGGCACAACUCGCGCACGUGCCCGGCGCGGGGGGCGGCGGGGGGAGGCGGGGGCGGGGUGAUGCGGCUCUUCGGGGUGCGCAUCAUGGAAGGGGUGGCGCCCAUGAAGAAGAGCGCGAGCAUGGGGUGCCUCUCCUCCGCCUCGGCCGCGGGCGGCGGCGGAGGUGGCGGCGCCGCCGCAGGAGGCGGCUCCUCGUCACCCGCCGCGGCGGCCUCCGCCGCCGCCGACGCCCUGCGCGACGCCGGGUACGAAUCCGACGACCCCGUCCACGCCUCGAGCUCCUCCAAUUGCCGCGGCGAGCGCAAGAGAGGUCUAUAAUCUUUCCCCUAACUCUUCCCCGUUUUUCCUUCGGAAUUUUGCCAAAAUUCGAUCUUUUCUCUUCGAUUUCUCGUCGCUAUUCGGUGGCAUUUGAAAAGGGCUUUUCAGUUUUUAUGAUAUUUAAAGCAUUUUUAAGCAAAAGCCUCAGAGAUUAUUUGUUUCUUUUUUUUUUUUUUUAAACCAGUGUAUGUAUAGAAAAAUUGUUCUUUUGUGGAAAUUUGAUAUCUUUUCUUCUGGAUUUAUCAUUUUCUUUUUUUUGAUUUUUUCAAUUAGUUUGUGGCUGCAUGUUCUUAAAAUUUAGGGCAUUUUUCUUAAGAACUCGUGUCGCUUAAUUUGAUUUACAUGUCUCUUUUGGAGCCGUCCAAUAUGGCCGACACCUUAGCUAUGGGGGCCAUAUUAUACUAUCCUUAAGGUUUAGUACCUAAUUCUUAAACAUAUGUGAGAAAGCGAUGGUUGAUGGUCCACACAAAGUUGUCCUUACAAAUCUUAUUGGAGCAUUAAAAAUGUGGUUUUGAUCUAAACACCUUUUGGUGUUUGAAUUUGACCCUCUUAUCAAUCAAUACCUAUCAAGGGAUCGCCAUGCUUCCAAAUGAAGUAAAAUUUAUUGAUUAUUUUAUACUUGUUGAUAUGAAAUUAGUUUCAAUUUUCUGCAUUUCCACUGGCUUCCAUGGCAAUUGUUUUUUUUUUUUUUUUUUAAAGUUCCUUUUCUAUUAUUUGCUAUGCGCAGCACCAUUUCUCAAGUCCCCAUUUCAUAUUUUGAUGUAAUGAGAUAUAUAAAUUAGGUUAAGCCCCUGCAUGAACUCGAAGGUCCACUAGUCUUGUUUUCCUUGCAUAAAUUUACUUGUUCAAUUUCUUUCGAUUUCAGAUAUGUGUGCAGAUAGUGUAUUUUCAAUGUCCUUGAAGGAGAAUUAAGUCUCUCUUCAUGUUAAAGAAAUAUGAAGUUUAAAAGUUAAGAAAUUAUGAGGUGCAUGCCAGUGAGAUUUCAAAACUUUCUCUGAAUUGGGCAUUACUUUCUGUAAUAAUUGAAAUCUUAGUCACUGCCAACUUUCAACUAUUUCAGUUGCUCUUUUAGUCUGAAACGGAUAUUCGUAUAUAGAAAGCCGUUCCGCGUCGUUUUUGGGAGGUUUAAAAGUUGUGGGAAUAUUUCAUGGGAGGAGAAAUGGUAAUGUUUAACUCGAAUUAAAACGUUUGUCUUCGUGCACUUUAAUGAUUUUGCACAUGCAUGUACCGGAAUUGACAGGGAUAGCUAGAUUGUCGUAUUCGUUAUGCGGCAGUCAGUUGUGUAUCAGAAUUUUCUUUCCAAUUGACUCAUUCUGUAAACUUUUAGUUGACAGAGAGUUGCACGACAAAAGAAAUGAAUUCCCUAACCCCCUGUCAUGACCACCUUAAGACUAAAGAAUGAUCGCUUGGUUGUCUUUGUGUUCCUUGAUGAUUUAGCACAUGACAUAGGUAGCUUGUUUGUCGUAUAUGGUACGCGACAACAUGGAACUUUCUUUCUGUUCGAAUCAUUUUUUGAACUUUUAAUUCAAUGGGGGAGCUGCACGACAGCAGAAAUAGAUUGCCUAAUCCACGUCAGGAACACAUAAAAGGAGUAAACAAUGACCUCAUGUUUGUCUUCCCGUAUGUUAAUGGUUUAGCACAUGUUUGUGCUAGACUCGACAUAGAUAGCUUGUUUGUCAUAUUUAUUACACGGAGCUCAUUGAACAUCAGAACUUUCUUUCCGUCAUAGUUGUUCUUUAAACUUGUACUUUUAAUGUGGGAGCUGCACGACAGAAGAAAUAAAUAAAUAAAUUCCCUAACCCAUGCUGCGAACACUCUUAAGACUUCACUUGUUUGUCUUUGCGUGCAUAAAUGAUUUAGCACGUGUGUGCUGGAUUUGACAUAGAUAUCUUGUUUGUCAUAUAAGGUGCACGACAAACAUUGAAUAUUAGAAAUUUCUUUUCUUUAGAAUAAUCUACUAAACUUCUAGUCAUAUUUGGAAGCUUAUAGAGCGAAGAGAUAAACUCCGUAUCUAAUGUCACGACAACACCUUGACACCAAUGAAUGAUGGCUUGUUUGGCGCUACGUACCUCAAUGAGUUAGCACAUGCAUGUCCUAGAUUUGACAGCUUGUUUGUCCUAUGUUAAUGAUCUGCAUGCCUUAAUGAUUUAGACUUGAUAACUUGAGACCAAAAGAAUGAUUGCUUGUUAGUUUUUCUUCCUUUUUCAUCCCUUUUCUGCAUGGGUCUUGGGCGGCAGAGAGUUGUUUUACAUCAUUACCUGUAAAAGGUCUUCAAGUACAUUACAAGUCCAAGACUGGAUUUGAGUAUUAUUACUGAGUAAUAGGCUUUUGUUAAUCAGUUUCUUCAUCUUUGCUUGUGACUCUUUUUUCUUUUUCUUCAUCUUUUUUCCUUUUUCUUCUCAAGUAGGUCUGCAAUCAAAACGAAUAGAUAUAAUGGUUUAGAUCGAAGUAUUAAAUAUUUCUACCCUAUUGUUUUAUGAGUGUAUCAGCCUAUUGUCAAGCACUAGUGAAGUGGUGCUUUUUUUUUAAGUAGAGAUUCAUUUUUUUGUAGCUUCAUGUUUUAUUCCAUGACCUGCUAAUUUCUUAGGAGGUGCCUGUUCUUUUGCUGAUGUUCAGGGAUGCGCUUUCUUGUAGAUGUAUCGGUCAUUUAGUUUUGAUUUUCUUUUCGAAAAUUGUAGAAUGAUAUUUAUUUUAUAGAAAACUAAUGGUUGGAAAAGCACUAACCAAUUUUUAUGGCAGGAAUUAGGAUUGGAUAUUCAGAAACUCAAUACUCUCUUUACAUAGUACAAUGUCUUACGUUAGUUUGUAUCCUUAAAAUGGUGUGUAUCUACUCUCUUUCUUCCGAUUGUCUUUACCUUAAGCGAAAAUACUUAUUUUAAGACAGUUUGCACCUUUAAUUUUCUUUCUUACAUUAAGCAUUUUGUGUUCUCUUUCUGUCAAUUAAUGAGAUGCAGAGUUGCGGGAUAAUUAAUGAGCAAAUGCUUUGAUUGCGUGUUGGUCUACAGGCAUCCCCUGGACAGAGGAUGAGCAUCGGAUGUUCUUGUUGGGCCUGCAGAAGCUGGGAAAAGGUGAUUGGCGUGGAAUAGCUCGCAAUUUCGUCGUGUCAAGGACUCCUACGCAGGUGGCCAGCCAUGCCCAGAAGUACUUCAUUCGGCAAACCAACUCAUCAAGAAGGAAGAGGCGGUCGAGCUUGUUCGACAUGAUCCCUGAGAUGGUAUAUAUGCAUUUCCUGAUUUGGUCCCAGUUGUUUAAGGCUAACACGUUCUUUUAACCCUUGAUUCCAAAUACUCUUACACCUCCUUAAGAGUUUCAAAUUUACCAACUUUAGUUCCUGUACUUCGUGCCUUCUAACAAUCAAGUACUUUCUUCCAGUAGCCUACAAUUUGGAAAAAAAAAAAGAUGUCGAUUAAGCAUCAUCAUUAGAGUUUGCUGAUACUGCUAUCUUUUUUAGGUUCCCCUGUUGGUGAACUCUGACGCCAACAUGGCUUCUUUUUCUAAAAGAUAAUAGGCUAGCAGAAUCAAUCAGUAAACAGAACAACCAUUAGGUACUAAAUUGUUAAAAUUGAAGCUUAUCUUGAAGUUGGGGUAAAUUUUGCGGGAUUCAAUAUUCAAUAAGCCCUUAUUUGGAUCCCUCUUGUAUCCUUAUCAUUUGUUUUCUUCGUUUGCAGCCCAUGGAACAGUCAAUGGACCAGUACUCAGUUCCCGAAGAACAGUUCAUGCUUCAUUCGCCUCCUAACGAACCUGCAAAAGUAAAUCCUUUUCCUCCUUUACCUCUCAACAAACACCAAGAAUCCGAGCUUGGUGCAACCAAACUAACUCUCCCUGCUAUAGAGCUCAAAGAAACCACCCCAUACAACAGUAACAAUACUCCCCCAAUACCAAUAGCACCAACACUUUACCCUGCAUUUCUUCCCGUCCCUUUAACAUUUUGGCCUCCUACUCUCCCUCCUCCGCCCCCGGCGCCUCCUGCUUGUCAAGACGAAGAGAUGAUGGAAGCUACUCACGAAGUCGUAAAGCCGAUUCCCCUAACCCCGAAGGAGCAGCUGACCAACGUGGAUGAGGUGCCAAGCAUCUCCAGCCUCAGCCUUCGUGAGAUAGAGCCGUCCGCUCUUUCGCUUAAGCUUCUUGGGUCUGACACUCCGAGGCAGUCGGCUUUUCAUGCGAACCGUGUUAUGGCCUCGGCGAGAACGGAUCUGAACAAUGGCAGUGGCAAUGUGAUCCAUGCAGUUUGAAGCAGAAGGGGGUCUAAGGUUGGCUAGUCUCAUAGAAAUAUAAUAUAUAUAUAUAUAUAUAUUAUAUAUAUACAUAUAACUAUUUUCUCUCUGAUGUUCUUUACUGUCUGAAAUUUUAACAUACAUUCUAGAACCUGUCAAUCCUUGUAAUAAGCUUUAAGUGUUGUUUAGUGUUCUAGUUUCCUGUUCUUUGUUAAUAGGUGGACAAAAGUUGUUCCUGUCAAACUAAUAAUGUUUUAAUUAAGCUUUAGUAAUAGAUGUGGUAAAGUUGUUUCGUUUUGUGUGUAAGCUUAGGUGUACACUUCGUGAGUUCUUUUGUUUGGGGCGAAGGAGCUAAGCUAGAGAAAGAAACAUUCAAAAGAUUGUAAAAGUUGUAAGCAAGUAUAACACUAUAUGGCUUGAAAUUCGUAUUAAAAAAAAAAAAAAAAAAAUUGAAAUGCGCGACCGUAAAAGGAUUCACAAACAUAUAUAUUGGUUUGUGCUUAGAUCAUCACUUAUAUAUAUAAACAACCCAAAUAUAAAAAUAACCGACUUUUCGGAAGAGUAUUUCUCGCAUUCUUUGCAGUUAAAUUUGAUUGUAUUAAAGUCCGCGCCGUGUUAGUUCGAUUUGACGGUUCUAACAGAAACUGUCGAGUUGCAUUUAACAAAGCCAGCGCCGAAAGAGAAUCGGGUCUCUACGUGAGAGUCGGUGGCGAUAACCGUCGAAUAACCGAAACAGUUGCUUCAACAGCGACAGCUCUUUUCCUCCAAGGGGGCGGCGCCGCCGAAUGCCGGGAGUCAUCCUUUUUUCCGUUUUCUUUUUAGGGAAAAAUUAGUAUGCCGCUACUUUAUUUACAAAGCAGAGUAUCACGGACUUAAAUUUUUUGACCGCAAAGUCCGUGUGGCAUCCGCCUUCCUGCUCGAAGAUGAGCAAGCUUUCUCAAGUCCUAACACGGAAACGAUUGACCCGUGACAAGAGGCAGUAGAGCUUAGGAGCAAAGAAAAAAAACAAUUCGACAGGGAAAACAAUUUAUGGGGAAAAAAAAAAAAACACUAGAACUUUUAGCAAAAAGACUGACCGUCCCUAGUGCAAGUUGCCAUGAGCUUGAUGGUUGAAAACCAAAAUUUUAAAUUUGAAAUAUAAUUGAUUCACAUUUCUAUCUAAGUUAUUUUUUUUAAAAAAAAAUAAAGCAAAUAGUAUGCCACCUUUUUCUCUCUUUCCAAAAAAUAAAAAAAAAGACUUAAGCUUGCUACCUAUUUCUCAAAAAAAAAAAAAAAAAAAACUUAAGCAAAUAAGAAAAAUAAACCAAAUAUUCCACCCAAUAACCUCAUAUUGGAUGGAAAAGAGACUGUAAUUGAAAAUGUAAGGAAUUAUAGACCUUAAUAAUAAUUACUGGUCAUGAAAAUUUGAGCAAUGGUUUGAGCUCAAUGAGUUUUUAGUGAUAGUAGGCUGGAUUUUUACAUUUGAUUAUAGAGUCGAAUAUGAAUCAAAAGUGUGGGAACUAAGUAUUAUGCGGGAAACCGUGCUCCAUCACGGAUUUCCAUAGGAGUCAUCUCUAGAAUCUCACGUUUGGUAAUUUAUAUGUAUGAUUGGAUUUAAAUCCGACGAGAAUGUUAGGACCUAAAUAUGGGAAAUCUAUCAUAGUUAGUUAAUUUGGAUUCGGCAAAAAUUCGGUACGGAUAUUAUACGCAUAAAAUUCGUUUUCUAAUUUUUAAAUUCGUUGAAAAAUUCGACUUAAAAAACAAAUUCGGUAUAAAAUAUAAAAUAUAAGAUUAUUUAUAUUUAAAAAUAAAAAUUAUAAUUUUUUAUUCAUAUUUUCAAUAAUUCGGCAAUAAUUCGCGAAUAAUUCGGCUGGCCCAAAAAUUCGCGAAUAAUUCUCUUUUUUUAGGAAAAAUUCGUAAACGGACCGUUUAAUUCGGAUUUUCAAUAAUUCGCGAAUAAUUCGCGAAUUUACUAAUUAGGAAAUCUAUAACGCCUCAGUAGUCUCACAUAGAUCACGAUUGAAAAUAUAAGGGACCAUAUACCUUAAUAAUUAAUAAUUGAAUUAUAUUUAAGCAUUUUAGGUUAGUGGUUUGAGUCCAACAAGUUAUUAAUGCUAGUGGGCCAGAUCGUUACAACACAUCACCCACCAAGUUGUGCCAAUCGUCGCUAACUCCCGACUCUUUAUAAAUCGUCGUCAUUUCAUAUUGCGUUAAUCUCAAACAUUUGGAUUUAGAUUUUUUUUUUUUGGUAAGCAAUAUUAUUGGUAUAUCUCAAAGUAAGGUGCACAUCUUACACGCUUUUUAUCCAAUGAUCAUUAUUUGUUUAUUAUCACAUCAAUUUUCUUUUUCAUUAAAACAUACUUGAAUUUUUGUGAACUCAAUGAUAUCUAAGUGUAAGAUGUACACCCUUAUGACGGUGUACAGGUAAGCAUUUUCCUUUGCUUUCUAUGAUGAGGUGUUUGGUUUCUUUUGCAUGAAGGGCCAUAAAAUUUAUUUAUUGUAAAUUUGGGUACAAUAUUAUGAGCCUCUAUACAGCUAGAAUACUUGGUAAACGAAGACAUUUACUUACGCGUCAUUUCAAGUGAUGGAGUGUUCAGAUCCAUGAUUGACAUUAUUAAAUUUGAUCUUAAACUAUAUGAACUUUAUAGAGUUCAAAUUUUAUAACUUUUUGGCAUUAUUUGCCUAUUCGUAAAGUGACUAUUUCCAAAAGCUAACAUAAGGUGAAUUUGAGAUAAUAAUCACUAGACAAAUGACAUAAAAAAACUACGAAAUUUGAGUCUUAUGAAGUUCAAACAGUGUUAAACCAUAUUUAACGGUUUUGAUCGUCGAUUCGGAUGUCCUUUCUUCGAAAACGAUGCCCAAGCAAAUGCCUUCAUUUAUUUUAGAAAUAGACUAGCUUUACUCUUUUCUUGAAUUUUUGAACCACUUGGAUAAUAAAUUAUAUUGAAAAAUUACAAAAUUUAUUUUUUAUAAAAAUUUAAAUAAUUUAGAUCAAGUCUAACUAUGUUGAUUAUAAAUUUGGAUGUCUUGUCAUCAGAAAUGGUGCAGUAGUAAACUGUCAUGUUUACUUUUAGAGGUAUUCUUCUCUCUCUCUCUCUCUCUCUCUCUCUCUCUCUCUCUCUCUCUCUAUAUAUAUAUAUCUUAUUGGUACCAUUUAAAUUUCAAAUUUUCGAUUUGAUUUUCAUCAAAAUUAAUACUUUUAUCUGUCAUCUGUUACACAAAGAAAAGUUCCAUAAGCAAUAAAAGAAUCGCCUAAGAUUAGUAGGUUCCAUAUAUUUUAUUACCUAAUUAAUAUUGCAAAACAGUACUUUAUUGUUGGCUAAUCUUUGGAAUGCUCAAAUUUGAUUGUUUGACUAUGAUUUUAUUCAAAAAUUAAGGAAAAAAGGAAAGAAUUUCUCCUCUAAAUUUCUUCAUUACUUGGAAGAGGGAAAGUCCACUCCAGUUAAAUGUUUAUAUUUCAUGGAACUGUAAGUCUACUAGAACUUCAAUUGUACACAUUCGUGUUUAAAUCUUACCAAUUAUAACUAUAUUUAUAUCCUACAUCUUGUUUUGGUGUUGGUUUUGAUUUAUUUGAGGCACUCCCGACCACAGCGUUGUUGUCGAAUACCCAAAAAAAAAAAAAAAAAAAAUCUAAUAGCUUAAGCUUUAGUGAGAAAAUAAUUGUUUCACAUUAUUUAUGUCGAAUAGGUAAUAAUUGAACAUCGUUUGUUGGUAACUUGAGCUUUUAAUUAAAAUAAUAAUAAUUGUUUCACAUUAUUUAAUAUGAUAUUAUUAAAGAGUU